CAUGGGGUCACAAAGAGUCGGACACAACUGAGCAACUGAACUAACUGACUGACUGGUGACUUACAGGUGGUGGGUCGCCACAGUCACACUGUUCUGGUGAGCCUUACUUUCCCUCCCAGCUUCACUGAUGCUCUGUAUUUCCUUUUAUGAGAUCUGUCUGCCUUAGGAGAUCUGUCUCCACAUAAAGGGACCGCCCUCACUCAGGUGGGCUGAGGGGAUGGUGUGAAAGUUGGGGCAGAGGAGCGGCAGCCCAAGGUCACCCAGGAAAGAAGGAAAAACAGAGGGAUACAAAUGGAAACGUUUGCAUGAAAAACUGCACUUUAAAAAGCGCUACAUCUGGGAUUUCCAUGGCAGUCCAGUGGCUGAGACUUCACCCUCCAAGGCAUGGGAGGGUGUGUGGGUCACUUAACUCCCUGGUCAGGGAGUUAAGAUCCCACAUGCAUCCCGGCUAAAAAACCACCCCCCCAAAAAAAAUAAGCAAUACUGUGGCAAAUUCAACAAAGAUUUUAAAAAUGGUCCACAUUUUAAAAAAUCUUAAAAAGUAAAAGUCCUACAACCACUGAGAAUGUGACUCUAUCAUAAAAUGUCUGCACACACUGGAGGGGUGGAGGGAACUUGAGGAGUGACCGUAAGAGCUGGAGUGCUAUGCACUCUGGCUCUGGGGUUCUGGGCAUUCUUUAGAAUUUUUUUAGCCUCCCUGGUGGCUCCUGCUCACCCCUGACUCCAUCUCCCCAGCACGCAGGCUUCUUUGCAGACUGGGAAGUCCGUGGAGCACUCCUCUGCCCUCGAAUCAGGCUAAUUCCCACACUUCCUUCCUGGCCCAGCUUCAUCAUCAGUUCCCCUGGGAAGAAUCCCCUUGCCUCUGAGAGCUGAUUCGAUGCCUGUUCCCACCCUGCCCAGACAGCCUGUGCUUCUCUGGUCCCAGGGUCUGUAACAGAGAUGGCUUGAGCUGGACUGCUUCAACAAUGACCUUUCGGUUAGAAGCUCAGCAUUUCAGGGAGUGGACAGAAACAUUUGGACUGUGCCAGCCACGGCAGGAGAGUCUGGUCUGGGAGAGGGGAGAGCGAGGACAGAGGGAGAGGUCCUUAGAUGGUCUUGCUCUGGCUUCUCCCCUUCUACUCCCGACCCCUGCACCACCAAUCCAAUUCUUCAAGCACUUAUUUCUCAAGUGCUUGUUACCGCCAAGACACUGGGGUGAGGAACUGCAACACCAAGGCCAUUCUUUGACUGUUGAACGUAGGUAGGGAGUCAAAGCUUUGACAUGAGGAAUUUCAGAUAACCAUGGGGGAAGGGAGUGAGAGAUAAUAAGACAAGACAGUGGAAGAUGGAUGGUGUGUGGGUACCAUAUGGUUUGGGUGCAAGAAAGCAGGUCCCUGUGGGCUGCAAAGGGAAGUCCUCUGAGAACCCAGAUGGGAAGGAGGGUCACAGGGUAGGGGAGUGGGGGAGGAGCUGGAUGGGGGAGGGGCGCUGCAUAUUAGGGGUCGGUGAAGAGCCAGUGGAGGCUGGAACAGAAAGAAAAGGUCAGGGAGUCCUGGGAGGGUGUGCUGGGGCCAGAAUUUUGAGGACCUUGAAAGCCAGGCAGAGGAACCAGUUCUGGGAAAGAGCCGGUGAGGACCAUGGAUCGCCGUGUAGCUGAUGAGAAAAGUUUUUGGAGGGACGGGCCUGGGGUAGCCCUCAGGGAGGACAAGGGAAAGAACCCAGUUAUUUAGAGUAACCCCCACAGAAGUCACAGCAGGGACUGAGACACAGGGGACCCGACCUUCCCUUCCCAUCUGCCAGCACGGCCGCCGUCACCCUCCCGCACACUGUCGCUGUGACCCCAGGUGGGACCACAGAAUUUUCUGCUGAUUGAGGCCCCUGGCAGCCCCCUACUGAUCCAUCCAGGGCGACAGGAGCUGCCAGGCAGAGAUCUGACCUGUCACCCCCUUCUCAUUAGCUUCUUUUAUUAUCUUCCUAAAAGAAAAAGUCUUGCUGAAAUGUUUGGUGCGUAUGUGGAUCCGUCACCUUGCUAACUGCCUGUCUCUCCAACUAGGAUCGAAGCCCCACAUCUGCCUUGUUCAGAGUGCCGGCGGCACCGAGCAGGGUGCUCAGCAGGUUAUCUGGGGAAUGAAUGGAUGAAAGAAUGAAUGGAAGUCCCCCUAGGGCUGGGGCUGAGUCAGGUUUAUACAGCUGCUCCCGCUGCAUAGGAUACCCAGCAUAGAGUCACUCAUGGGGGUUAAGGGAAGUCUGCCAGCUCUUCCUCAUGCCUCAGCUUCAGGGAGUGAUGAAGCCCUUCUUCCUCUGUGGGGAUUAUGCUGAAGACUGGCCUUACCAUGUGUAAUGUCUCUUGUUAGCAGUUUCAGCCUUGAGACUCUCGCUCCCUUCCUCCCCUCCCUUCAGGGCUCGGGACUGGGCAUCAGACUGGCCUGAGGACAAGAACGAAGGGAAGAGAGGCCACAGUGAAAGAGACAGGAGGAAGAGACCCCCAGGAGAUGUCACAAGUUCGUGCACACUUGUACACACGCAUGUGAGUUGUGAAGGCUGGCUCUGGUUUGGAUAAUUCAAGAAACUUGCUAUGUGACCAUGGCUGCGUCAUUCUUCCCCUAGGCUUCAGUCUCCCUGGUGAUAAAACCUGACCAGUGAAGACGAACAUUUCUAAGGGUCCUUCAAGAAUAAAAAUGCUAGGAAUAAGAAAUCACCUAGGGUUACACUUUGGAGAGCGAUGUCGAUGGGACUGGAGCUUUUUCAUGGCUUUUGAGGGCCUAGCAUACAUUUUGUCAAAUAUAUUAAACCUACCCAGAUCCCCCUGAAAAAAAAAUUCCCAUAUAACUGCAAAAGCUGAGUAGAACUCGAUAAGUUGCUAUAAAGUUACAUAUUAACAUGUAAUGUUAUUUCAGUUUUGCAGUUUUGUUUUCAUAUUUUGAGACUAGUCAUUGUACCAACAUAUAAGUUUUCUAACUUGCUUGUGGGGCCCCAGAAUUCUGAGAGGUCCCAGGUACUCUGCUGGUAGAGCCUUCCUAGUCAAAAGGACUUAUCUGAGGUGUUUGGUGAAAAUGCCCGUUUCCGGGCAUUAACUCCCUCCUCCCCUUACCAGCCACUGAAUCAGAAAAUUGGGUGGAGGAGCCUAGGAAUCUGUAUUUUAGCAAGAUUCUCAGGUGAUCAUUUGCAAACUAAAGUUUGAAAACCACUGCCAUAAAAAGCAGCUGAGAAAAGAACCUAGGGUAGCCAAUUCUGGAGGACGAAGCAGGGUUAUAAAGGGCCCAAAGAAGGAGAGGUGAAACAGAGAUGACAGCUCAGUGGCUCCUGCUUUGCAUGUGUGCACACUGCUUCUGCCCACGUGCAUUCUGCGUGUAAACACGCUUUGCAAAACCCUGACUCACCCAGUGCCAAGCCCCUUCCUGAGGGGGAUACUCACACUCACAUGGCCUGGGUCUACAUCCGCUUUCGUUUGCGGGAAGAGAACGUUUCAAACAUAUGGAGUUUGAGACUUGAAGACCGAAACCACCGCUACCGGGGACUGAUACUACAAAAGGACAUAUAUAUAGUGCUGGCACCCAGAUGUUUGCUGCAAUUGGUGCUGCCUUUGAUUGGUGACAGAUACGAGCUCCAGCAGCGAGCGGUCUUAGCUCAUCCAUGGAGAGGGAGGUUUUGUUUAAUGCCAAGCCAUAUGUACCAGUUUUUAUAUACAUGCUUGCAUGUAAGCAUGAACAUGUGGUUGUUGUUCAGUUGAUAAGUCAUGUCUGACUCUUUUGUGACCCCGUGGACUAUGUAGCCCACCAGGCUCCUCUGACCAUGGGAUUUUCCAGGCAAGAAUACUAGAAUGAGUGCCAUGUCCUUCUCCAGGGUCGAUCUUUCCAACCCAAGGAUCGAACUCCUGUAUCCUGCAUUGGCAGGUGGAUUCUCUACCACUGAACCACCAGGGAAGCCCAUGCAUGAACAUAUACACACCCCAGAUGUUAUUUGCAGGUGUCUGCAAGUUCCUGCAGUAAUUAGAGAUGUAGCCCAGUUGUCAGAGGUCAUCUGGAUUAUAAUGCGGAAUGCUAGUUUCCAAGGCAUCAGGAAGAUGCUAGGCUAUCAAGGGUUGGCAAAGGAGUGAGCAGAUAGGAAGGACCAAGUACUAUGUUGGGAUUUUCCCAUGUAUGUUUCACAUCAAUUGACCGGGGAGAGUACUAUCAGUUCCAUUCUCGUGAUGAAGAAAACCAAGACACAGAAAAGAUGUGUGACUUAGCCACCAUCCUGUAAGACUGAACUCCGACCUGGCUAACCCCAGAGUUCAUGUUCAAUACUUUAUGCAGUGCUGCCUUAAAAAUCUUAAGCUGUAAGCAUGGCGGAGAGGGAAAAAGAGGAUCUAUUUUAGAGAGAGGAAACUGAUCUCUCUAGUCAGUGAGAAAACUAAAAGUAAUUCCUUAACAAUUUAAUUCACAAAUAAUAUGUGGUCAUUGGGAAAAAAUAAUUAACAGAUAAGCAGUACAAAAAAAAAAAAAAGCAAGUAAUCACAUCUCUCCCCCCAAAUAACAGUGGUGUUUGUUUAUACUUCUAGUUUUUUCUUUCCAUCAAAUACAUAUUUUUUUCUAGCCUACAAAUAAAAUGAUAUGAUUUUUGCAAUUUUAUCAACAAUGUUACAAUGCUGAUUUUUUCCAUGGGUAAUUAGUAAUGCCUAUCCAAUCCUAAUCUUCUGUGCAUUUAGGUCAAUCCAUAUUUCUUUGCAGAUUCUAAGAGGGAGAGAUAAAGCCUUUCAUUUCUCUGUUGCUUGCUUCCUAUUGUCUGUUCAUCAGCCACGAAUGCAUUUAGGAAGGAUUAAAGAGUGUUCUGUCUAAAUCCUUUGUUUUGCUGAAUGAUGCAGCCUUAGAGAACAUACCAAAAAGAAACAAACAAACAAACAAACAAAAAAAAACCCAGCAAAUCAGUUUGGUUUCUUCCUCCCUGUGGAUGGAAAUGGAGCAUAGGUUUUUGCAGCAACCAAGAAAAUGAUCCAAAAAAUUAAAAGUAUUUUAACGCCAGGGAAUUGCAGCUGUCUUAUGCAAAAGAGCUUGAGUCGGGCUCCCUAUUGAGACAUAGUUAAUCACAUCCAUUAAGAGUCCUUUACACUUGGCCUUGCCUGCUAGGCACAGGCCCUCUGUCCAGGAGAAGGUGGGUAAGGUAAGUCAGGUCAUGAGAUAAUUUGUGUAUAUUUUUCUUUUUCCCCCUCCAUCUAGUUGGUUUUUUCCCCCCAUUUUUACUUUAGGUUUUUUUUCAAUUUAGGCAUAAUUAACACUCAGUGAAAUGUCCAGAUCUGAAAGGAACAGUUUGAUGAGUUCUGACAAAUGCACAUACCAAACACACUAAACCACCAAGACACAAAACAUCUCCCUCACCCAGAAAACACCCUCUGCCCUGUUCCCAGAGGCAACCAUGGCACUGAUUUCUAGCACCACCAAUUAACUCUGUGUGCUCCAAAAAUUCAUAUAAAAGAAAUCAUACGACGUUUAAAGUUGAGCAUGAAUGAUGAGCAAGAAGAGGCAGGUCUGGUGGGAACGAAAAACUGUUGCAUACAGGUGCUUCGGAAAACAAUCUGGCAGUUCCUCAAAAGGUUACCCAGAGAGACACCGUAUGACCCAGAAACUCCCUGCUUAGGUAUACAAACUCAAGAAAGAUGAACACCUACAUCCACCAGAACCUUGUACAUCAGAGCAGCAUUAUUCAUAAUAACUCAAAAAUGGACAGACUCAGUGUCCAUCAACUGACCAAUGAGCAAAAUGUUUAUAUAUAUAUCCACACAAUGGAACACUGGGCAUCACAAGAAAUUACGUACAGAUAGAAGAGAAGAGAUGACGUGGAUGAACCUUGAGACCAUCAGGCCAAGUGAAAGAACUGCUCACAAAAGACCCAAUACUAAGCUACACGCUGUGUCUCAUUUAAACCUCACCAUCUUUGCGCAAGGUGGGUCACGCGGUAACUCAGCUGAGAUUGAAGAUUUUGCUGAGCAAAACAGCAGGGUCACAGUAAAACCUGGUCCUUCCGACUCGAGCCUUUGCUUCUGACCAUAAUAAAACAUCGUGCCGGCUGCCAGGACACAACAGGGAACCAGAUCCACGCAGGCUCGGCUCCAAAUGCCACAAAUCAUGAUUUCAUUGGUUGGAGAUGUGUGCUGCAGAAACCACGGGCUGGAGGGAGGAAGAGCAUGGCGCAAUCCACUGGGAGGGAGGGCCUCUGAGAAAGGGGCACGUGGGCUGAGCCAGGUGACUGGUGCUGUGCCAAGUGCCGAGAGAAGAAGGUCCUGCUGUGGACGGCUCAGGACACGGUGGUCUCACACAUGGUGGCCGAAGAAUAAACAUCCAAACGCCCUGAAGGAGAAUGUGACAAGUUAAACAACCUCAAGAGUCCUUGUUUCAGUCAUUGUAUUUUAUGGGAAUGCAUCUUAAUAAAAUGGGAAACUGCAGUUGCAAAGAUUUAGCGAUGAGAAUAUUCACUGAAGCACUGAUGUGCGUGUGUGCUAAGUCACAUCAGUCAUGUCCGACUCUGUGACCCUAUGGACUAUAGCUGGCCAGGCUCUUCCGUCCAUGAGAUUCUCCAGGCAAGAAUACUGGAGUGGGUUGCCAUGCCCUCCUCCAGGGGAUCUUCCCAACCCAGGGAUCAAACUCACGUCUCCUGUGGUUCCUGUAUUGCAGGUGGAUUCUUUACCCCUGAGCCUCCGGGGAAGCCCGAAGCACUGUUCAUAGCAGUGCAAAAGUUGAAUUCACGUGUCUGCCCCAGAUGCUUAAGAAACACUGGAGGGGCUUUGCCACUUAUGUCUGAACAACAGUGAAGCUGGGUGUCCCAAGAGUCAAACGGUGAUGAAGCAGAAGUGCACGUGUGGGAAGAUAUUUAUCAUGUAUUUAGUACAAUAGCUAUUUACGAGCUGAUGUGUAGACUGCUGUACUAUUACAAGUAUACACACACACACACACGCAUGCAUAUGCUUUAGUUCAUUUAAUAGUCACCUUUGAGUGAUAAGUAUUCUUAGCUUCUCCCCUUUGUUUGUCUGCAUUUGUGUAUUUUUCUGGAGAAGAUAUCUUGUGCUUUGUAAUGAGAAAUGAAGGACAGCUGGUGCCCAGACAGGAGUGCAAUUCUCCCAAAGUGGUUUGAUUGGUAGGAAUCACUCUUCAUGUAAUUUAUCUGGUGCAUCCUUAGGAAGAGUCCACCAUGAGCCUGGGUUACCCACUGGGAGAUGGAGGGGGAUGAAGCAGACAGAGCUCCUGUUUCAUGAGGAAGCUAGUUAGGUAAACACAUCAGUGCAGUCAGUGGUCAUAUGUUCUAUGAUAUUUGCAGAGAGGCCUCCAGCUUAUGAAAACAGGAAUGAUCUUUUCCCAUACUUUGAAUGCAGACUCAAUUACACCUCACAAACUCAGCCCUAAAGAUCUAGAAAACCGAAAGAGUCCCAAUAGCUGUGAUAAGACUAGCAUUUGGACUUAAAACUAGCCUGAUGUCUCUACCAUGAGGGCCUCUGUUUUCCUCAUCUGCAAAGUGGGUGACCUCUCCAGGUGGCCACAAAGAUCAGCUAAGGGCUCCAUAAUAACAUAGCUUUGUACACAUGAUGGAGGGGGCUUAAUGCCAAGAUCUGAACCCCUCCCUAUGAGGACUGACAACCUAGAAUUUAAAUCGUGAUGGAUGCCAAUGUGUGGGGAAGAAAACAAGUUUACGACUGAAAGACUGAACAGAGCAAGGCAGUGAGCAGCCUGAUUCCAAGUCAGCGGCCCCAGCCAGCUCACGCCUAGUGUGCCUUCCAACUUGGGCAGCGUCUGACUUUUGGAAUGUGUUUGGAAUCCCAAGGACAGUCUGUGAAUGUUAAAUUAGGGGAAAAAAAUUAUCUGCGAGGUUUUGUUCACAUGUUAAAGGGAAAUAUUUAGGACCUAUUGCCUUGAAAAUAAAUCUUCUGUAACUCACCUCUGGGAUAGUGAAAAAAAAGGCCUUUCCAGAUAGAUGAACAGGGUUUUGAACAUGGGCUCUGUGCCCUUUUGUAGAUUAUUUAUUAUCUCCUAGCUUCAGGAUAAUAAUAUCUUUCCCGCAGGGUAAUUAUUUAGAGCAAUGCAUUUAGAUAGCAUAGAUGCUCAAUAAAUGGCAGUUGUUUUUUAAUUUGGGGGGAGACUCAGAAAGCAAUGGGGUCUUAUCACCCAGAAGCUGAAUCUUGAAGAAAAUCAGCUCAUCAUGAAAGGGAAGGAGGCCCGGGGUGGUCUGGCCACCCAGAGCUAAGGCUGACCUCAGCUCAGCCUGGGAAAGGUGAGACCAGGAUAGCGUGUCUCUGUCAGUGAUGUGGGAAAACUAAAUUAGACUGCAAAUCCAAAUUUGAGGCUGGCCCUGUGCUCUGCGUCCCUCUGAGAGCCCGGUUGUACAUGAGCAGAAUGCACUAGGCUUUUCUUGGGGAAGAAGAAGGGACACGUCUUCACUGGAGAGUGAAGAUGGCUCCAUCGGAGGUGGCACGGGGCAGCUGGGAGUCCAGCCAGGAGCAGAGUGCACACGGUGGGUUUCCAUCAAAGUCACCAAGGGCGACUGGUUAAAUAUUCCCAGUCUGGGUCUACUUCUUGGUCUCCGGAGGCCUGGGGUGGAGUCUGUGAAUAAUCCGUAUUUUACCAGGCCUCAUGGAUACUCCUGACACUUUCCAAGGACAGGCUUGGGAAUCGCUCCCGCAGUACAGAAGAGCCAGGCGUUGGCCUCAGAAGGCCUCGGUUCAAGACCCAGCUGGGCACCAGCUCUCAGGACCAGUUUUACAAUUCUGGGACUGGACCCAGGGCAAGGCAGGCCGGGACACCUCUGCAGGCUACAAACAUAAACAGGGAAAUAGUCAUAUGAACUCUGCACUGUUAUAUAUAUAUGUGUGUGUGUGUAUGUAUAUAUAUAUAUAUGUACAUGUGUAUAUAUAUGUAUAUGUGUAUAUAUGGUUAUACAUAACCAAGAGUCUGAGGCAUGGAGGCAAUGUCUCCCGCCUGUGUGUACACACACACACACACACACAUAAUCAUAUAUACACAUACACCUACACACGAUAUGUUUUCAUAUCUACAUAUACAUGUUGCUAAGUUGCUGUUGCUAAAUCACUUCAGUUGUGUCCGACUCUGUGCGACCCCAUAGACGGCAGCCCACCAGGCUGCCCCGUCCCUGGGAUUCUCCAGGCAAGAACACUGGAGUAGGUUGCCAUUUCCUUCUCCAGUGCAUGAAAAUGAAAAGCAAAGUCGCUCAGUCAUGUCCGACUCUUCAGGACCCCAUGGACUGCAGCCUACCAGGCUCCUCCGCCCAUGGGAUUUUCCAGGCAAGAGUACUGGAGUGGGGUGCCAUUGCCUUCUCCGACAUAUACAUGUAUACAUGCAUAAAACCACGUGAUCUGUGUACAUAUACAUGUAUAUGAGUUUCCCAGAUGGCGCUGGUGGUAAAGAACCUUCCUGCCAAUGCAGGAGACAUAAGAGUUGUGACUUUAAUCCCUAGGUUGGGAAGAUCCACUGGAGGAGGGCAUGGCAACCCAUUCCAGUAUUCUUGCCUAGAGAAUCCCAUCGAGAGAGGAGGCUGGUGGGCUACAAUCCUGAAGCAACUUAGCACAGUACAGGCAUGUAUACAUGCAUAAAACCACAUACAUGUGUACAUAUAUAUGUAUAAAGUCAUGUGUAUAUACACAUGCAUGCACACAUACAAACCUGUAUACACAUAUUCACACUUACAUACAUGUGCAAGUGGAUACACACGUGUAUACAUACAUGCAUGCAUACAAAGGUAUAGGUACACACACAUUAUGUGUUUGAGGAUUACUAUUUCAGUUGAUCCUCAAACAUCUCUACUCUAGCACUAAUAGCCCAUUUUCCUGAGGAAGAGUCUGAGGCAUGGAGAGAAUAUGAAACUUGCCUAAGAUUACAAGACCAGUCCAUGGUACAGGCAGGAUUUGAAACAAGGCAGACUGAUUCCAGAGUCCCUGUGCACCCUCGCUACCGUAGGACCGAUAACUAAGAGGCUAAGCAGAGGAGAGGCUGAAGCGGACGCCUUGCUCCCGGGUGGAGACUGUGACCACUGGCGUCUGCCCCGAAUUCCUCUCAUUUCUGUACUUCUAUGCUGUUUCUCCAUUGAGAGCUGGAGUCAAUGUCUCCCGCCUGUGUGUACACACACACACACACACACACACACACACACACACGCACACUCCAUAGCCUAGCCAAGCUGAUACAGAAAAGUAACGCUCAAAUUGCAUUUUCCCCACUCUGGAUCAGUUUGCCCUGCAAACCUGAACCCAACUUUCCUGGCCCACAGUCAUGAUUUACCAUCAUGAAUCUCACAGUCAGCAAAAAGAACGACACUGGCAGUCAGAGCCCUUCAGAGUGAACCAUGCGGUGCCUAAAGCAAGAAGGUACCAGCCCCCGCAAAGCCACUGGCUGGCAAAUAAGACUAGAGUGUAAGGUCAGCAGGCAUGGCUGAAAUGGACCAUCUGCUUCAGUCAACAGGUAAGAGGAACAAGGUGGCAGCAUGAAUGUCCACUUAAAAGGAGGGAGGAAACCAUGGCUGGUUCCAGCGCCUGGCUGUACUCGCUACUGACUGUGUGAUCUCAGACCACUCUUCACCUCUCUGGCCUCAUUUCCCCAGGUAAGCUUGGUGAUGUCCAAAGAACUAUCAAGCUCUUCUCAUGCUUCUCUUUAGCUUCGUCUUAAGCACUGGUCAUUGCCAUAGCAUUUACUUUUGACUUGGAGGGAUAAAGCCAGCGAACUCCGCUUCACCACCAUAAGCAAACGAGGGACAGAGGGUGUCGGUGACCUCACAGUAACACAGAAAGUCACUGAUGAAACCUCCAAACCCCAGGAACUCCCAAACCCAGGCUCUUUCCCUCCUACUGGUAAUACCACUCUGCUCCCAUGCUGGAUUCUAACUCACCUUUGUAGGAAUUCACACCCCCCCCCCACACUACUGGACGUGUCUUACAGUCACUCAGCAGUUCCUCAAUUAAUGCAGGCUGGUGAGAAGUUAUCAAUGUCACUGGAUUUUGUUUCCUUGCCCCCACCAAAGGCAGCUGCUUCCUUCACAUUGGUAUCAAUCGGGCCAGGAAGUUUCUUUUUGCCUGCAAUCUAUUGUAUGCAGCAAGAUCAGAGGGAUCUGUCAAAUGAAGGACGGAACCAGCUGGUCAUGUGGAGAUACUGGCUGGCCCCUCUGGAUUGGCCCAUCCCAGCCCUGCUGGACGGUUGGUCAGUCCCCUGUGCUAGGGGGUUCCUCUGUCUGAUAGUGAGAACAAAGGAGCGUCGUUACGAUAAUUAAUCAGAAGCACUGUCAUCAUGCUAAAGAAUCUUUGGUCUGUUCCAAAGCCAGCUAGGAAACUGACCUCACCCCCUUCCUCACAGCCUCCGGUCCAUCCAAGACUGAGGGAUGAAAUGUGUCUCCUGGAGGCAAUGUGUCCAGGAAAACAAAGAUUUUCUGAGGAUCUGUGCGGACAUCAGAUGGGACGUCUACUCAUCUCACAGCUGAGGAAGCUAAGGUUGAUCAAUACCAACGUGUAUACAAGUAUAUAGUGCAUGCAAGACUCUAUUCUCAGACAUGCUCUGAUAGGCAGAAUAGUGGUCCUCCAAAGAUGCCCAUGCCUGAAUCCCUGAAAUUUGUGACUAUAUUGGGUUACAUGGCAAAGGGGAAUUCAGGAUGCAGAUGGAAAUAAAUGGCUAAAGUGCUCACCUUAAGACAGUGAGAUCACCCUGGAUUGUUUCUGUGAGCCCAAUAUAAUUUGCAGUGUCCUUAAAAAUGGAAGAGGGAGCCAGAAGAGAAAGAUGUGAGAAAGGAAGAAAGGCAUGGAAAGAGGACAUGCAGCUGGCUUCAUAGAUGGAGGAAGGGGCCACAAGCCUAGGGAUGCAGGCAGCCUUUAGAAGCUGGAGAAGCCCACAGAAGGAACCAGCACUGUGUUCCCUGGUGGUGGAACCCACCUUGGAUUCUAACCUAUAGAGCUGUAAGAUAAUUAAAUCUGUUUUGUUCUAAGCCACUCAAUUAAAAGGCAGAGCCAUCAUUUUGUUCACAAAGGGCUGUAGAGUCAACAUUACGGUUUUCCAGUAGUUGUGUAUGGAUAUGAGAGUGGGACCAUAAAGAACUGUGGUGUUGGAGAAGAAUCUUGAGGAAAUGAACCCUGAAUAUUCAUUGGAAGGAUUGAUGCUGAAGCUGAAGCUCCAAAACUUUGGCCACCUGAUGCGAAAAGCUGACUCAUUGGAAAAGACUUUGAUGCUAGGAAAGACUGAGGGCAGGAGGAGAAGGGGAUGACAGAGGAUGAGAUGGUUGGAUGGCAUUAUUGACUCAAUGGAUAUGAAUUUGAGCAAACUCUGUGACAUAGUGAAGGACAGGGAAGCCUAGCAUGCUCCAAGUUCAUGGGGUCACAAAGAGUCAGACUCAACUGAGCAACUGAACAAUACCACCACACCAUAUACCAACAAUACCAUAUACCAGUCGAAUUACAUUCAAAGAGAGAACAGAUGACCCUCUUCCAUUCCCUUGGUGUCAAAUUCUCAAUCAUUAAAUCAAUGAUUCCCGUGGCCAAGCCAAAACCAUAACCACCAGUCAAUGCCCUAAAGGAGUCCACAUCAUGCCAGGAAGUCAGACAUGGGCAGAAAAAGAAGAGGUCUGUUCCUGUUCUCCAGACAGGAGGAGGUCAGAGACCUUCCAACAGAGGAAGAUGACUCCUGGGUGGAAGAGCCCAGAGAGAAGGCUAAAGAUGGGAUGGAACUUGGGUUCAGGUGCAUUAGGAUAGAGUGGGACAGGCCGUCAGAGAGCGGGACAGGCCAUCAGAGAGCGGGGAGUCCCCACUUACUGAGGACCUGCCAUAAGCCAGACCCCAGCAGACACCUUCAGACAGGUUCUUCUCACGGGAGCCCUGGCACAGGAAUGAGAUGCCCAUGUCACAGCUGAGGAUGCUGAGGCUCAGGGUGGUGAAGUGACUUGCUCACAGCCCCAGAGCCAGCCACUGGUAAACCUGGGGUUGAACCUAGCCCUUCGCUGACCGGAGCCCACAAACCCCUCAGGCUUCCAAAGAAGAAAGGCUGCAAACAAGUCAUAAAAGUCAAAGAAAGACAUUGGUAAGCUCGAAAGACAAGGAUGAGACCUUGCUUACCGUGACUGACGCCCCACACAAGGGUGACCGUGAUCAAAGCACAGGGGUUGGGUGACAAUCAGGUGGGCUUUAAACAUCACGCUGAGAGGUCAGGCUAUUUUUACAAGUGGAGAGGGAUGGGGUCGGAGCUGUGCUUUCAGAAUUUGGACUUGGCCAUGGGGAGGAGCAUGGAAAACAGCACAGCUGACAUGAGACCUGGGGCGGGAGGCAGGGCAGAGGUGCAGGGCGAUGGAAGGAAACAGGAAGUGGCGCCAACAGGAAGGAAGCAGAGGCAGGACUGCUGGCCAGAGAGGGGUCCAGGGAGAGGGAGAAACCACUUCUCCUUCCCUUUCUGAUGAGGAUAAGAUUAUGCCUUGAGAACAGGGCUUCCCCCCGCCCCUCAAAAAAAAACAGGAGAGGAAGAACCCUGGGCACGUGUCCCGUACAGAGGCUGCAGUACCCAAAUCAUGUGGUCGUUCGAACCGCCUUGGUCUACACUGGAGCUCCAUCCAUUGGGCGUUCUGGCCUCAGGCCCUGGGUGACCCAGCGGUGCCCCUGCCCCUGGUAUCUCAGGGCCAAACCCAGGCACAGAGAUCAAUGGAACCCGAAGGCAAGUGAUGAGAGAUGGCAAGAAAAAUGGAUGAAGAGACCGAGGUGCAGCAAGGUAAACAACUCGCCCAAUAUACAGCGAAUGCAUCCCAGAAUCAAGAUGCUAACGCAGGCCCUUACGUAUAGACCCUGCCUGUACCACUCAGGGACCCAGCAGGGGAGAAGCGAAGGAAUAAACACUCUGAUCUCGCUCCCUUCCUACCAUCGGGCCUGCCAGUGUCUCCACAACCGAAGCCUGAGGGCACAGGAGCCUGUGCAGCACCACGCCUAUUGCAUCCACACCGGUAGGCCUUCAAGUGGGGUCACGGAGGUUACCCAGGACCCCAUCACUCCCACAGCCAAGACUCUGCAGCAGGAGGCCGCCUGCCUCUCUGUACAAGGGCAGGACGCCACACAUGCCUCCUCCCCAAGCUGGUCCAGCAGCAGCAUCCCUCUCCUUCCUUCCUCAUUCCCACUUCAGGGCCCCGCCCUGCUUCUAUCACAUGCAGAAACCUCAUGUGGCCUUCUUUAGUCAAGGCAGGCCAUUGAGAGCAGCUGUCUCAAGAAAGCAGGGCCAGCUGAUGCCAUUGCCAGCCAAGCUGCCCACUCCGGGCCCUGGCCUGCCCUGGGACCCUCCCUGCCAGGCCUGCACACGAAGGCCUGGCUGCCAGUAAAAAGAAAGGGCUCCUAUCUCUGAUUCCACAGGGCCCCUGAUAAGAAAUGUCAUCCCUUGCUGUGUAAUAUUACCCAGCCGGAUAAGAAUCUCUAUCAAGCUCAAACACAUGGCUGGCCACAGAACACAGAGCCCGCUGGAGCAGGAUCAUUUAUUUGCUUAAGCUGAAAGCCCUGGGCAGCCGGGAGAAGCACACUGAAUAAGAGACUAAGAGCCAAAUUAGAAUCUAUCUGACUGGGGGAGUCGGGAUUUUCUUCCUCCGGAAGGAUGAGGCCCCAGAGGACACCAGCAGGCCCGCCUCACUUCUCUCCUGACUCAGUAGGCGCCUUCAUCGUCUUCUUUCCUCAAAGGGCACUUUCACUUAUGUGAUCACAUUUAAUCCUCAUGACAACCUCAAGGGAAGCAUUUUUAGCCUCCAUUUACAGGUCAGGAAACUGAGAUUCAGCAAGGUUAAGCAACAUAGUCAAGGUUACAGAGGCAGCCACGCCAGCUCAUGGAAUCAGACCCGUCCAGUCUGACUAACCAGCCUGCUGUCAGAUCAGCUGCUGGGUCGCUCGGCUGUUACAACUAAAUUAAUCAAUUAAGUCACAUCAGCCCGAUGGACAGUAUCAGCUACACAAUAUCAUCUGGAAGGUCCGUUUCAAGCUGCUCUCCCAUCUCCUUCAAGUCUCUGUAACCUGGGGAAUAAAGAAGCCUGGCAGAGCAUAGAAACUCGAGGCAGGGGACAGGAGGCCAGGGAUGGUACCCAGGAGAAGGAGGAGGGACAUCCAGCGUUUCCACUCCUGCUGCUGUAUUUGAGGAGUAGGAGGCAGAGAGCACUGUGGAAAGAAAACUCCCCCUGUGUUCAUCAUUCAGGUAUUCACAGAUACUAAGGGAAAGGCUACUGUGUGCCUGGAUCUGGGCUUGGUCCAGGCAAUAAUUUAAUUACCAUUGCAAAUGAACAGAUCCUGCCCUCAAGGAGGGGUCUGUCUUGUGGGACUCAGAUCAGCAGAGUUGGGAACCACAGGUUGUGAAUGCAGACGCAGGAAGUCCAGGCAGCUGAUUUGGGAGUGCUGGAUGUGCGCCACCGGGGCCAUCAGCACAGCCUGCACGCUGUGCCAUGCCCUCUUUUUUCAUUUUUUAAGGUCAACUUUGUUAACUGGAUGUGAGGGGAGCUUGGGGCAGAGAGAAUGAUGCAUAUAUAUGUGUGGCUGAGUCUGCUUUGCUGUGCACCACAAACUAACACAACAUUGUUAACUGGCUGUACUCCAACAUAAAAACAAAAGAGUUAAAAACAAGAUAAAAAGUAAAUUAAAAAAAAUCAACAUUGUUAAGGCCAACAGCAGUUAAUACAACUUCAAGACUGUUCCAUAUCACGACAUAAAGCCACCCCUUCCCUUUAACAGCGGUAAGAAAGCGAAAGUGAAGUUGCUCAGUCCCGGCCGACUCUGCGCCAGGCUCCUCCAUCCGUGGGAUUUCCCAGGCAAGAAUACUGGAGCAGUAUUCCACUGUAUGAAGGUAUUGUGAUGCAAUCAAGCGAUACCCAACUAAGGAGCAGGUAAAUUGUGUCUCAUUGUGGGAGCUGAAUAGGUGAAGCACAGGGGACUCUUAGGGAAGUGAAAACAUGCCAUAUGACACUACCAUGGUGGGUACAUGGCCUUACACAGUUGUUAAAAAAUGUUCAACCCCAAGACUGAAUCCUAAUACAAGCUAUGAACUUGGCUGAUAAUGAUGUUAGUGAGUGUAGAUUUGUCAACAGUAACAAAUAUACCAUUCUGGUGCAGGAUGUUGCUGGUAAGGAGGCUGUAUGUGGGGACAGAGGAUAUACUGGAACUCUAUACUUUCACUCAACUUUUCUGUGAACCUAAUAAUAAUAACAACAACAAUAAUAAUAAAAUCAAUUGAUCAGGCAAGCGUAAAUUUAGCUCAAAAGUCUCAGUUCCAUCUGCUUUCUACUGACAAUUUUUUCCCCCUAAAUUUGGGUCAUAGUCUUCUGUUUCUUCACAUAGACAGUAAUCUGAUUAAAAACCAGGCAUUGAAGACAGGGUUAGGAGACUAAGAGGUAUAAACUACUAAGUAUAAAAUAAUCGACAAGCCUACAGGGAACAUAGAUAACAUUUUAUAAUUACUAUAAACGGAGUAUAAUCUAUAAAAACUUUGAAUCACUAUGUUGCAAACCUGUCACUAAUAGUGUUAUAAUCAACUAUGCAUUGAUUUUAAAAAUAAAAUAAAAGCUAGGCAUUGUAUGCCAAUAAAUAUAGAGAAAUAAGUAAAUAAAAACAGCCUCACUGUUUGCUAUUUCAAGCAAUGUUGAGAUGAAGACGCUGUUCACGUCACCUGCACCUAUGCGUGUGUUUGUGCAGAAUGAGUUCUAAGAAUUCAGCCAGCAUCUUUAAGCCUGACUUUCCCUGCCCCCUUCACAGUAGGCAUAAGAAAGUCUCGCUCUUCACCCUGACAGCGGAUGGCCCCUGGUGUACCUGCCCUGUUCAGAGACUGGCAGGGACUCCCUUAACAGUGUCUUUGUACUCCGUGUUGAGCAAGUGCCAUCAUUCUCACAACAGCAUAUGAGCAAGCAAAUAUGUGUCUCUUGGGUCGCCAAGACACCAUUUCUUCUGGCUCUGCCUUAACUGGCUCGUGGGAGUCGAGUUCAGGAAUCAAGCGGAACACAAAACAAGACACUACCUCUCUUCAUCCAAACUGCUCCCAGAACUGGUAGGCUUUCUUCUUUUUCUUCUGGACCCUGAGAUGCUCGAGAAUGCAGAGAACCCAAGGCUGGAGAGAGGCAGAUCUUCCACGGGACCUCAGAACACUUCUGAAAUCACUGCUCAGCCUAAGAAAAUACAGUAAAUCAGUGUCAAGUUAUGCAACGUGGAACCCGAGGUACCCUGAAAGAAAGCACCCAUUACAAACAGAAAAAUCUUCUAAUAUCCAGAGGCAAAGAGAAUACAUCUUCACGGCUGAAAUAAAGUGGAAGCUAAGGUAAAGGAGGUCAUCUUUCAUGUGGGAGGCUGGCCAUUCACUGGUAGAUGUUGAGGAAAGAACAACCAUGAGUAAGACCAAGCCGCAUCCCUCUGGGAGCUCUGAGGGCACUGAGGGAAAUGCCGUGGGCCACGUGGGCCAGGAGGGAGGGACCAGGAGCUCUGGGAGCAGAGAAAGGCAUCACUGACUCGUCCUGCAUAGAUGAGAGAAGAGGAUAUUUGAGCUAGGUACUGAAGAGCAGAAAUUCACCAGGCAGGGAAAAGUGGGGAAACUUUCAAAUGGUAUUAACAGCACAUGUGACGUGUAGUCUGAAAGAACUGUCUGCCAGCACUCAGGCUGUAAAGGGGAUCCCUCACAGGCUGUGCUAAGAGUUUGCUGCCGCCCGCCGCCAGCCACCUCCCUCCCCACCCCUCUGCCAGAUGACCAGAUGCUAUGGAGACUCACAGAGGCUCCUGAGCAACAGAGUGACAGAUCAGAUCUAGGUCUCAGCAUCACCAUGAAGGAUCAGCUGGUGAGUACAAAUUCUCAGCCACGUGGGAACCAGUAAUCCAGCCUGCAGAACAACAGACAAAGUGGCUACAACAGUGGCCUCCGGAGCCAGCUCUCUGUCUUCAAAUCUCAGCUCUGUCCCUGCCAGCUUGAGCAAUUUGCUUAUCUAGUCCAUAUACAGUCUUCUCAUCUGUGAAAUGAGGUAACACCAGCAGUGCCCUCUUAGUGCUAGCACCUGGAUUGUGAGUUAGAUGAGCUCAUAUACAUAAGGUGCUUAUCACAGGGCUCAGGACACAAUAAGGGCACAAGACAUGGCAGCUUUGGGACCACUCCAUCUCCUGUGUUCCCCUACAAUCCUCUUUCAGCACUGACAGUUCAUCUGAAACACAAGUGGUGAUGAAUCUGAGCGAAACAAGCAUGGUUUGCUUUAGGAGGGCUGGAACCCCAGUCUGAAAUAGAGUUUGGGAAUUUGCCAGCAUCCUGUCAGAUUUCCCUACAUCGCUGUAAGAGGAUGACCUGAGACAGUGGUUCUCGAUGCUGCUGCACCAUAGAAUCACAGGGGAGAUGUUAGAAUGCUGAUUCCCCAGGCUCUGUGCCUAAGUCAGGAUCUUUGGGGGUUGGGUCCUGGCAACAAGAUUUUUAAAUUCCUCAGUUAAUUCCAAGGGAAACCCUGUUCGAGAACAACUGACCUAUGAGCUUCCCUCAAGGCUCAAACAAUAAAGAAUCAGUCUGCGAUCCAGGAGACCCAGGUUCAAUCCCUGGUUUGGGAAUAUCCCCUGGAGAAAGGAACCGCAACCCACUCCAGUAUUCUUGCCUGGAGAAACCCAUGGAUAGAGGAGCCUGGAGGGCUACAGUCCAUGGAGUUGCAAAGAGUCGAACACCACUGAGUGACUAACACACACCCAUGACCUGAGUCAAAUUCAGCAGGAAAGGGAAACCUGACGGAAGGGAAAGUGCCACGCUUGGAGCUGUGUCACCUCCAGAAGGCACUCAGCCCUCUGGGCUUCUCCCCCAAAGGGCAGGUGUGACGAUGCCUGGACCCCAAAUACCUCACAGGGUGGUGGGAGGCGACCCGGGGCUAAGAUUGAGAGAGCCUGGGUCCCUAACACUGUGACAUACCCCUCAAAGCUCUUCUGGGAACAGAGGAGGGUACCUGAUGAAACCAGGGAGGGAACCAGUGGUGAAAGCACUGUGAGAUGCAGAGAGCUAGUAAUGGUCUUAAGUCCUCUCACUAACCAGCUGUGUUACUAGCAGUCCCAACUUUUUGAAGCUCCGUUUCUUCAAUUGUUGACUAGGGAUAACCAGAUAACUAGACUGACCUGAUCUACCAUUCAGACGAGGGGAGAGUGGGGUGCAAGACAGGAAGGUGCAGGUUGAGCCAUGAAGAAUCAGGCUCAUGCAGAGCAUUUUUAAAAAUGUUUGACACUCUCACCGCACUAGGUCUUUGUCACAGCAUGUGGCUCUUUGUUGAGGUGUUCGGACUUUAGUUGCAGCAUGGGGGAUGUGGGAUCUUAGUUUUCCAACCAGGGAUCGAACCUGAAUUCCCCUGCAUUGGAAGGCAGACUCUCAACCACUGGACCACCAGAGAAGUUCCCAUGCAGAACAUCUUGACUGAGCAUUUUCCAGAUCUUCCCUGGAAUGUGAAAGGUUCUGGAGGAAGAAAUGGCCCCUUUGACAACAGUCGUGACUGAGGGGCUGCAAGCAUUUCAGGAAAGUUUUCAUCUGGGCAGGCUGGGAGGGAGCCUGCCGGGGUCCAAGUGGGGUGGGUGAUAGGCCAGCAGGGAAGGGUGUGGUCCAGGGCUGCCCCGGCCGAGACGUUAAGAUAGGAAGUGCUAUCUAGGAACAAUGGAACCACAACACCGUUGUCCUAGCCUGAAUCUGACAAGAGGGGAUAAGACUCCAGGAAACAGUCCUCCAACAGCUGGCCAGAGCGGCUCUGACAACCUGCGGGCUGCCUUAUUUGUUCAUUCAUCCAUUUGCUCAGGUGCCCUGCAACAGUGCCCAUCAACCGCAUACCAAGGAUCUGUGUUAGAUGCUGGGGAUGCCGAAGUGAAUAAGGUUCGGUCUGCACACUUAGGAACCACAAAGAUAAAUAAGGCAGAGAAAAGAAGCAACAGCUAAGUAUAACACUAUGUGCUAAAACACAGCAACGAUAAUAAUAUCAAUAUAUCAAUGGCCGACUCGACACCAGGAGACAUGCUUGACAUUUUAUAUUUCACAUCUCAAAUCCUCAGUGUCCUUUCCAAGCAAGAGUCCAUGUUCCAUUUUACAAAUACAGAAACUGAGGCUCCGAGAGGCUGAUGACUCGACACAGAUCACACAGCAACUUGGAGGCUGGGCUCAUAUCUGAAUUCAGGGCAGCGGUGCUCCGACACUUGAGCUUCUUCCCCAUGGCUCACUGCUGUAAUUCAGAGAGUCACAUGAGAAUAAGACAGAGGACCCUCCCCCCUGAACCUCCUACAAGUACUGUCCCCCUCACUUCAACAAAACAGUUUAAAAACCAUAACAAGCAAACAAUAGAGAAAAAAAAAAAUGAGGCUUGGCGCCCAGCCUGGGCUCAUCACUCAAUACGUGCUGACAAACCAGCAUCCAACUCUCACAGCGUCUGAGCCGUGGAGCAGAGGUGGGAGGUAUUUGGGAAGUAGCAGGCUUGGGGUUGAAUCCCGGCUUCAGUAUUUAUACCUCCCUGAACCUCAGUUUCCUCAUCCUAAAAAUGGGAGCAAUAAAACCCACCUGAGAAAACUGGGACAAGAUCCAGGACACAGUGACAAUUUCUUGACCUUUAAAAUCCCUGCAAAACGCUCCCCAACAGAUCUUGGGGGAAAGAAAACAGCAAAUGGAAGUACACCCAGGGGAGACACUGGCGCGUUUUAAGAGCUCCCGCGUGGAAACAGACACCACAUGGGAAGCGUGGUGUCUCCACAGAGCGCCGGUUCCCUCCCUCGGAUAGGCAGCCCUUCGAGAAGGGCAAGAGCUCGCUUCAACCCUGCUGCCAUACCUGCCCACCUACCUGGGCACCACCCCCUUAACCCUCUCAGGAUGGCAGCCACCGCUGCCCAAGUUCUGCUCAGAAAGCCGGGGUACAACCAAACAGGGGUGUCCUGGGGCAGCUGCUGCAGGAACGAUGAUCACUAUUACCUUCAGUUAAUGUUUACUGAAUCCUGACUUUGUUGCAGUCACAAUGCUUAGUUUUUCUUUUUUGUUUACCAGCAGGAAGGCAGUCAUGGUUUAAAUCAGAAUUUAAAGCAUUAGACUUGAAUGUCUCCAGAUUCCCCCACUUGCUCAACCUUGAGCUAGUCACUUUACUCUCUGUGCCUGAGUCCGGGCUGCAGGUCAUCUCUAAAAUACACACUCCUGGGGGACUUCGUUGGUGGUCCAGUGGUAAGACUCUACUACAGGGGGCGCAGGUGUGACCCCAGGUCAAGGAACUAAGAUCCUGCAUAUUGCACAAUGCAGCCAAAAAUUUAAAAAUAAAAUUGACACUCUUCCAUUUAGCCUGUAUUUACUACUAUUUAAAUAGUAGGGACUAAAACAUUAAAUACAACUAACAGGGACUUCCCUGGGGGUCCAGGGGCUAAGGCUUCCUUCGCCUUCCAAUGCAGGGGGUGCAGGUUUAAUCCCUGAUCAGGGAACUAAGAUCCCAUACGUCUCACGGCCAAAAAACCAACACAUAAAAAUGGAAGCAAUAAUGUAACAAGUUCAAUAAAGACUUUUAAAAAAUAAAUUAUAAAAAGAAUUAAAUACAAGUAACAGAGAUCUCAGCAUUUGCAGGGAGUGAGAGGGGGUAGGGUUAGGGAAGAUAGUCAAGUAAGUAACUACACAGAGGGUCAGAUUAAGAGAGAUCAACAGAGGAAGGAAGGCAGAGAGAGAUGGGGGUGAGGCGGGUACUGUUUAUACAAGAGCGGCCAGAAACAUCUCUCAGGUAAGGAGACGUUUGUGCACGUGUGUGUGUGUACAUGUGCACGUAUGUGAUAUUUACUGAGCAUUUACCAUACUCCAGGUAGCCAUCCCAGGCUUCGGUUAGGUGUUUCAUGCACAAUAACUCAUGUGCCUUGCUGACAUCCCUAGAAAGAACAGUGAUAGUUUCUCCACUUUACACAGGACAAAACUGAGACACAGAUUGCUUAAAUGACUUGCUCAGAUGACCGAGGUGAUGAAAAGCAGAGUAGGCUGCGGGCCUCUGAACCGCACACAUUAAUUCUUCCAUUCCUAGAACCCCUUUUGCCAGAGAGUGAGGCGCUGUGGAUCGUUACUGUGAUCACUGUCAAGAGGCUCGUAAGAAAAGAAGGGAAAAGGGCAGAGGAUGAAAGGAGAGGGAAGCACAGAACGACUCACGGCACAAAACACACAUUUGAAACCCAUUUGGAAAAUACAGGGGCGGAGACUAGGCUCUUGGCCCUCUCUGUCUCUGAGAUGCUCCACCUUCGCUCCCUUUUUAUUCACCUUAAUUUCCUCUGAAGGAAGAAGACCUGAUGUUCCGCCUCUAUUUCAGGCUGACUUCUGAUUUGCAACUUUGUUCAAGGUCCUCUUGGCUCCCACACCAAAGGAAAAAACCCAGGACAGCUCGUGCCCUUCUCAGGGCCAUCGUUUCAGAGCCAGCACUGGCUCUUUUCUGCUAAAACUGCAGCCUCUGGCACAGGAGGAAGGGAAGGCUGGGCAGUCCGUGAUGGUCCUGCGAGGUCCCAGGAAGCAGACGAGGUAACACAGUAGGCUCGAAAGUUGACUUCUCCUUUGAAAAACGGGCACCUGCCUCAGAGAUGCAUACUCCAAAAGGCUCCUUUGUAAAGACUGUCGGAGAACUUGCUUCCAGAAAGUCUCCACGGUGUGCUUUGUCUCUGAUUUCCCAGUGGACUGGAGCUCCUGGAGGCAAGGCUUCAGGGUUUUGCCCUGUACAUCUUGCAUCUGUAGGGAGAGUGUGCCUGACCAGUGGAUCCAGAGAUGGAUGGAUGCAAGGGAAGAAGAAAAGGGAAAGGGAGAGAGGAAAGGAAGGAAGGUGUGCAGGAGGGUGAGGAAAAAAAAAACAACCUAUGACCUGACAACAGCAGAGGAAGGAAUAAAAGCAGAAAACAGAUAAAAGCAAAGUAUUACCAUUAAUAUGUGUUCCUACUAAGUUGCUUCAGCUGUGUCUGACUCUGUGACCCUAUGGACUGUAGCCUGCCAGGCUCCUCUGUCCAUGGGAUUCUCCAGGCAAGAAUAGUGGAGUGGGUUGCCAUUUCCUCCUCCAGGGGAUCUUCCUGAUCGAACCUGCAUCUCUGGUGUCUCCUGAGUUGGCAAGUGGGUUCUUUACCACUAGUGCCAUCCGGGAAGCCCAUCCAUUAGUAUGGAAGAGUUGGGGGGCGGGGAGGGGAGGGCUGGGAAACAAGGAAUACUACACAGCAGUUAAAAACGAAUAAGGUGUGUACACACACAGGGAAGAGCUACAAGAUAUACUGCUGAGUGAAUACUGAAAACACUGAAAUAUUUGAUCUCCUCCAACUCUGAAUGCCACAGAGUCCAUGGAAUCAGGGACAAGGCUGGUGGCUGGACCUGGGAUUAAGUCCUAAGGAGAUCAGCUGACCGAGUUCACUGCCUUGCAAAUACUCACACCCACAAGAAAAGGAAGGUCACACUUCCCUCUAGGCCUCCAGGCAGUAUCCAUCUUAUGACCCGGUUUCCAGUCUGACUUUGUUUCCACAGUACCUUGAAAAUACUUGUACUGGUUUCAAGACAAAAAAAAAAAAAAUCAAAUGAGCAUUCCUCAGUUUCCAGCCCCCAGCCUAUGAUAACCCAGGAAGAACACUGCAUGUAUACAGAGUUACAAACUGAAGAACUAUGGGCUCUUUCUGGCUACAAAUUUCACCCAUAGGAUGUUUAAAAUACUUCUGAAUUCACUGCUUACAUCUAAAAAUCCAGGAAAUUUCCUUACAAAGUCCAAAAAUGUAUUUGGCAGCAAUGGUCCCACACGAUGCAACACCCGGCAGGAUGCUGAGGGCGGGGUGGUCCUUUAUUUAAGGUAUGUACCCUCCCAGAGGAUAAGAUGGUUAGAUAGCAUCACAGACUCAAUGGACAUGUAUUUGAGCAAACUCUGGUAGAUAGUGGAGGACAGAGAAGCCUGGUGGACUGCAGUCUCUGGGGUCGCAAAGAGUUGGACACAACUCAAGUGACUGAACAACAGGCCUCCCAGGGGUGGUUGGAGUCCUAUCCCUCAGAGACAACCAAGCCCAAACUCAACACAGAGGAAGACAUCACUGCUCAGAGAGGUGAGAAAACUUGCCCGAGGUCACAGAGCAAACUAGUGACAGGAUGGGAAGCAGGACUCGGCAUUCCUUACAUCAAGGCCUGUGUCCCUUCUACCUGCCAGGCUGCACUUCCUCUUGUUCAGAACCAGGCACAGCCUUAGAAAGUAGAUGAUCCACGUGACGGCUGACUAGAACAAGGCUUCUGGGAUCACCCUGAGUCCAGAGCAAAAUGCAACUCAGGCAGAAGUGACGCCUCAGACGACACAGGGGCGCAAGCACACAGCACCAUAAUUAGCCCAGACCUGGUCAUAGGAGCACCUCUUGUGCAAUGUUAUUCUUUGCUUCAUGGUUUCCACAUCCAGAAGACCAAUACUUCCCUAAAAAUCAAUUGUCCCCAGCAACCCACCUACACAGUUCUUGGAAAAUAUGGGUUAAGCAUUCUGCCUCACACACACUAAAAAAAAAAAAAAAAGGAAGAACAAAGAGGGUGGGAAAAAUUCAUCACCACAGUCCUGUGUACUUUUCAUUAUUUGUUUUUCGAGUCACCAAGUUCAAAUGACCCUGUUCCUUGGAGUUUCAGAACUAUUUUUACCAACACUUGCUAGAAAGGAGGUUUCACAGGUUUUAAUAAAUGCUAUUACUGGCUGUCAAGAGACACUACAUGGCUUCAAGAGGCUGGAGGUUUAGGGAACGGAAGGUGGCCUGGCAGGAAGAUGAGGCUGAGAUAAUCUGUUCCUGAUGCAGGGAAUGAACAGCUGAUUCCAUUCUGUUGCCCGGGGGAGGUGAGACACAGGAAUUGCAAAACAUCAGUCAGAUAAAUAAGUGGCUCCAUUGGGAUCAUUUCCCAACCUUCCAGAACAAACAAGGAGAUAGAUGGGUCUGGCUUUAAGAAGAGGCAGCAUCCAGUGAUGGGGAAUGCCCAGCGCAUGGUAAGGGCUCCAUAAAUCUCUCUCUCUCUCUCUCUCACACACACACAUACACGGUUUCUGAAUCUCUUAACUUCAGAUGGAGAGCGCAGUAGACCAAUUCUCUCUGUCCGUAUGUGCCCUCUUGGUGUUCAUGCCCAGUCUCAAGGCUUAAAUAACAUGAUCCUAAAUAGGCACCCAAAUAUAUAUCCCUUUACUCCAUGUCCUACCCCAUGUUCUCAGGGUUCUCCAGAUAAACAGGCAAAGAAAUAACGGGAGAGAAUUGACAGAUUUCAGUUCAGUCGCUUGAUCGUGUCUGACUCUUUGUGACCCCAUGAACCAUAGCAUGCCAGGCCUCCCUGUCCAUCACCAACCCCCAGAGCUUACUCAAACUCAUGUCCAUUGAGUCAGUGAUGCCAUCCAACCAUUUCUCCCUCUGUUGUCCCCUUCUCCUCCUGCCUUCAAUCUUUCCCAGCAUCAGUGCCUUUUCAAAUGAGUCAGUUCUUCAUAUCAGGUGGCCAAAGUAUUAGAGUUUCAGCUUCAGCAUCAGUCCUUCCAGUGAAUACUCAGGACUGAUCUCCUUUAGGAUGGACUGGUUGGAUCUCCUUUAGACAUUUUAAGGAAUUGGCUUAAACAUUCAUUGUGGAGGCUGGCAAAUCCAAAAUCUGCAGGGUGGGCAAGCAGGUUGGAGACCCAGGGAAGAGGAGAUGCUGCAGCUCAAGUCUGAAGGCUGUCUGGAGGCCGAAUCCCCACUUCUUUGGAGGUUUUCGGUCUUUUUCCCUUGGGACCGUCACUGAUUAGAUGUGGCCUACCCACAUCAGGGAGGGUAAUCUGCUUCCCUCAGAGUCUAUUGAUAUAGAUGUUAAUGCCAUCCAAAAGACACCUUCACAGUGAUAUCUAAACUGAUCAAACGGCUGGAUACCUAGUUAAGCUGAUGUGAAAUUAACCUUCACACUGCAGAUUCAUACACCCAGCUGCUCCGUGAAUAUCUCCACCUUUAUGUCUAAUGUCCGACUAAUAUCUCAAGCAUGAAUCCAUCCCUACCCACCACACUCACCCACUGAUCCUCCUUAUGAAUAAAUGGAAACUUCAUUCUCUACUUGUUCAAGGGAAAAUCUUGCGAUCACCCUUUAUCUGAUACCCUGCAUCCAAUCCACCGGCAAAUUCCAUCUUCAUGAUACAGUCAUAACUGAUCCCUUCUCACAGCAUCCUCUGUGACCACAGUCACCAUCAUCCCGCCCCUGGAUUUCUGCAGUAGCCUCUUAACUGGUUCAUCUGCUUCUGUCUUUGUCAUUUUCAGUCCAUUGCCAGCACAGAAACUAGAAGGAUUUAGUUAAAACACAAGUCAGAUCUGCUCUGAAGCCUCCAACGGCCCUAUCUUGAUAGAGCAAGAGCCAACAUCCGUUCUAUGACCCCCUCAGAACUAUUUCAUCUUUGAGUCUUUCCUGAUCUUUGUGGCUGGACCACAUUUCUCCCCAGGGCGGGGGUGGGGGCCUGCCCAGCUCUCGGUAUCCUGCUAGGUCAUUUCCUGAAGCCCAGCCAGCACCCACCAGGGCCUCAGAAGCCAAGUAAUGACCAUUAGGGCAUUAUCUUGAGGACCAUACUGGGAGGCUGCCCGGGGAGCCGAAGGAUAUUAACUAAAAUAGAGGAGGGUGCAAGCUGGGGUGUGCAUCUUUGAAAGGCCUCCUAAGGCAGCUGGCGUGGAUUAUUCUGAAUCAUGUUGUAAAAGAAGAAUUAGGUGGCAACCAGGUAAGAGGUGGGGGUGGUGGUGCCAGGUGAGAACUCAUGCAGGUGCGCGGCAUCUUCUAAGAGCACGCUGCCAAGGGCUACCAUUUCACACAUCUGCAGCCAUGGCCGGAGAAAGCCAAAGAACAAAGACAGAAAGAAGAUGUGGUAUCUGACCGUGGCCAGGAGGAAGAAAGCCUCCCGAUGGGCCAGAGCGGGGGCGGGGCAUGGUGCCAAGUGGGCGGCGGGGCCAAGGAACUCAUUCUCCCUCCCCACCAUCCUGAGUCCCUCUCCCUCUGAGCCCUUGUCUGAAGACUCUGGGGGAGGGACAGAGCAACUGCCAUCCUUCGUCCUCUAGAACUUGGGCAGACUUCCGAGGGCCUGCCUAGAUACUGCAGGUGUUUCAUCAGCUAGGCCAGGUUCCAGGUCCUUGUGGGGCCUUCCGCCACUGCACCCAGGGAGACUCUCAGUGAGUGGGACAUGGCCUGCUCCAGAGCUUAUUCUUCUAAACAAUAAAGGAGUUUGCCCCCGACAAGGCAACUGAUGGGAACUGUUCAUGAAUACAUGGAAAUGAUCCUGAAAGGGGCUGAACUAGGACUGAGCAGGAAGGCAGGGCUGAUGAGAGGGUGUCUUGAUUACUAACAGGGUCCUGUAAUUCCAGAGGCUACCACCCUUGAGCCCAUGAAUUGGGCUGCACCCCCUCUUAGCAGGUACCACCACUGGUAAUUCUCUGAUUUCUUUCCCAGGCUCCAGUUUAUCACCAGCAUAUUCCCCAUGAUCACAGGCCCUCCUUGUAGCAUCUUCAUGCCCAGGGGAGCACAGGGUGUGUGGAAAGUGCUGAAUAAGUAAGUGUUGAGCAAUAAUGCUGCUCAAGUCUGCAUGGGGAGAAGACAGGAAGGAGACUCCUGGAGAGCCCUGGAGCUCAAAGGAAACUUCUUCCAUGGUGCGUGCUAUGUCAUGUCUGACUCUUUGCAACCUCCUGGACUGUAGCCUGCCAGGCUUCUCUGUCCAUGGGAUCCUCCAGGCAAGAAUACUGGAGUGGGUUGCCAUGCCCUCCUCCAGGGGAUCUUCCCGGCCCAGGGAUCAAAUCCACGUUUCCUGCGUCUCCUGCAUUGGCAGAUGGAUUCUUUAUAUACCCCUGAGCUACCUGGAAAACCCCCAUCAGAGAUUCUAGUGCCAGAGUCUGGGUGCGGUCAGCAGUCACUGAAAGUUAAUGAAUAUGCAAUCAGUAUGGAGUAAGCACUCAGUAAGCACCACUGGAUGACUGAUGGACCCAUCAAUUAGCGGGAUGACUGAGCACAGUGAAAACAUUCCAAGUUAUAUAGCUGUCACCUUCCCGUUUAUGGUCAACAGGGAUUUUCAGACGGACACCGAAGAACCCUGACCGCACUGUGCACCUCUGGGCAGCCUCUCACUCCUCCAUCCAGAGGGCAUGGGGGCAGUGGCAGGGUUCCUCUGAGUGCCAGGGGCUGAGAUGUCAUGGUGGAGGAGGAUGGGGAGAAGCUACCUUGGGAACGCAGUACAGGGUGCUCUCCCCUCCAUGAGCCAUCCUUAUUUCAUCUAAUUAGAAAAAGACAGAGGGCCAGGUACCAUGAUCACCUAUUCAGCUUGAAGGAACUAAGCUCGGAGAGAUUCAGGGAUUGCUCAGUGUCCUGUAGUGGGUAAAGGAGAGUGUCAGCUUCAAAACCAAGUCUUCCUACUCCAUGUGGAUGAACCUCUUCUCCUAGACUGCACCAAGCACACGGGAUGCAGGACAGCGGGUACCUCCCUGAUGACAGAGACGGCAGGACCGCCACAUGGAGGUAAAUAAAGCAGGAGGAACACAUCUCACCUGCCUGUCCCAACGUGCAGGCAGAAACACAUGAAAUUCCCAGUGCUGCCUUCUGGAAGUCAUCUGUAUGCACCCGCAUUUUCAUUUUCACAUCGUGCGCAUACGAGAUGAUGUGCUUUGCUUGCAUCACUCAGCCUGUUAUUUCAAGGAUCUAAAAAUGCUCAGGUGGCAUCUAGUCAACCAAUUUUAUUUUGCACCUGAUAUGAACCAGGCACCCUGCCGGGCAGUCAAGAAAAAAGUGGUGAGCAAAAUGGGCACUGUCCCCAUGAAAUGAGUUGGGGAAACAGACAUUAAUUUGAUAAUCAGGUAAUUAAAUGAUUACAAAGCAUGGCAAGUCAUAUAAAGGGAAAGUGUAGAGUCCUAAGACAGCUUGUAAUGGGAACUUCAAGAAUGAUGAUUUUAAAGAUCUCAUAAUAUUAUGCUAGGUAGAUAAUCAUAGUGGAUUUAACCAUUCUCAAUUUAAUCAUUUGGUUUCCACUUUUUAUUGCCCUAAACUGAAGUUACCUGAGGUAUAUGGAAGUGAGAUAUCAUGAUGUCUAUAAUUUAUUUUAAAAUAUAUUAGAAAAAGAUGAAGUAAAUAAAACAAAUGUUUAUAAUUGUUAAAUAGGUAAAUGGGUGUUCAUUAUACUAUUCUCUCUACUUUCCUGGAUGUCUGAAAUUUUCUAUAAUCCAAAGUAAAAAAAAAAAAAAUCAUGGUUUAAUGGACAUUUUCACAAAUGAGUGCUUUUUUUUUUCUUUCUUUGGAUUAUCCCCUUAGGAUAAAACUGAAAAAUGAGGUAAUAGAAUGAAAAUACACAGACACCAUCAAGGCCAUUUGUGCACACUGCUAAGGAAACCCACUCCUGCGUUCUGCCAACUGCCACAGCAGCAUAAAUGUGUACCUGCUCUCCUCCGGCCUCAUCACAGCAAAGGAUGCUGAUGUUUAAAUUGUUUCCUCAUUUAAUUAGUGUAAAUAGGCAAGGUCCCCUGUACUUCACAUUCUUUGUGUUUUCCUCUAAGCAUCUGAACUGCCUUUUAUAGCCCCAGCAAGCUGCUCCCAGGAGGCGGCAGAGUACAGAAAGGGAGAGGAUGGGGACGGGGGACCCCACUGGAAUGCUGGCCCCACAGCUGUUCAGCUGGGUAAAUGUUUGGACAAACGCUUCAUGUUCUAGACUCUUACAGCUCUGAAGGUCAGAAAUCCAGAAGUCUUCAAGUGCUAGUUGAAAGUGAUGUUUGCUCAGUUGUGUCCAGCUCUUUGCGAUGCCAUGGACUAUACAGUCCAUAGAAUUCUUCAGGCCAGAAUACUGGAGGUGGGUAGCCUUUCCCUUCUCCAGGGGAUCUUCCUGACCCAGGAAUCGAACCCAGGUCUCCCACAUUGCAGCCGGAUUCUUUUCCAGCUGAGCCACAAGGGAAGCUCAAGAAUACUGGAGUGGGUAGCCUAUCCCUUCUCCAGCGGAUCUUCCCAACCCAGGAAUCAAACCAGGGUCUCCUGCAUUGCAGGCAGAUUCUUUACCAACUGAGCUCCUGGAGACCCCAGGAGGCAAAACACGUUCCCUACCUCUUCCACGACUAGAGGCUGUGGGCAUUCCUCAGCUCCUGGCAGAAUCACUCCAAUACCUGCUUCCACGAUCACAAUACCUUGUCCUUUUGUGUUGUCAAAUCUCUCUCUCACAAAGACAUUUGUGAUAACAAUGGGUUCACCCAGGCAAUCCAAGAUAGUCUUUCCAUCUCAAGAUCCUUCACCACACUGCCAAGUCCCCUUGGCCAUGGAAAGUGACAAUCAUCUGGGAGGGGGCUCUAGGAUGCGGAUAUCUUUGGGGGGCUGUUACUGAACCAACCACAUGCGUGGACUUGUCUUUCUCCUGCAGCAUGUGUCACGCAUCAUCAUGUUCCCAGCACACCGCAUGGUGCCUGCCAUACAGUGAGUGCCCAGGAAAUGCAGAUGGAGGGAAGGCUGGGAAGAAAAAGGGAGGGUCCAGGGAAGGAACACAAUCCUACUGACCCCACAUCAUCCCUGAGUCCCAAGUGCAAGCAGGAUAAAGUUCCACUAGGAGAUCCGCAUCUAUGAGGAACAGCAUCUUCAAGGAACAAAGUGUAAGGUGUUGGCAUCUUACUGGAAGAAGGAAGUGCCUGAUGGGUAACAUUUGUUCCCCUGUCUCCAUAUGUUCCCACAGCAGGCCAGCAAGCAACAGGUGUCUCUUAUCCUGCCCACUUCCUGGGAACCCAGGCAGGGCUGGAGUAGCCAGCAGACUUACUGCUGUAUGCUCAUGAAGGCACUUUUCCCACAAGAAACAAACUCAGGGGAUGCGUGCAUGCUCAGUCAUGUCCAGCUCUUUGUGACACUAUGGACUGUAGCCCACCAGGCUCCUCUGUCCAUGGGAUUCUCCAGGCAAGACUACUGGAGUGUGUUGUCCUGCCCUUCGCCAGGGGAUCUGUCUGAUCCAGGGAUCAAACCUGCAUUUCUUCUAUCUCCUGCACUGGCAGGUGGGUUCUUUACCCCAAAACCAACCCAGAGAAGCCUCAGAUAUUGUCUCCUUGCCACAAAUGCUUUUGUUGUCCCUCCGCUCACCCCCAAGAGAUACUAAGAAUGGCUCCUUUUCAGAGAAAAGACGACCACAAUGAUAGUUACUGCUAACACCAGGGCAAUGCAAACAUCAUCUCUAUUCUAUUCAACAAAUCAGGCAAAAUAAACAUUCCUAUGUCCAUCUUACAGGUGGAGAAACAGAGGCACGGGGCAGAAGUAACUUACUCCAAAUCACCAGCUGAGAUAAGCAGAAAGAAGGAGUCUAUCAAGUUCUAAGGCUGGGCUCUUUCCACUCCGACACAAAUCUGCCAAGAAUGAGGGUCAAACUGCAAGCACGGAGUCACAGGCGUUGUCUGUAGACGGUGCUGGGUGUGACAGUCAGUCAUUCCAGCCUCCACUCCAGAGUUGAGUGAGCUGAAGCCCCAGCCCUGGCUGAACCAGGUGAGGGCAUCCCCACUCACACAGUCCCACUUCGAACACACAGGUCUACUCCACGUGUGCUUGGCGCUGUGGCACUGGGGAUGCUGAGUUAAAUAAAGGAGUUGUCAUUGCUCCUUUCAAAGGGCCAGGUGGACAUGCACAAAGAUAAACCAGAACAGUGUAGGAAGUACCACCUGGGCUAAAACAGAGCCCUAGAGGCCUGGUGGACCUAAGCAGAGAGGCAGCAACUCUAGCCAAAGGACAGGAAAGCCUCGUGGAGAAGGGGGCUCUGCAGCCGGGUAUGGUAGGAUAAAUAGGAGUUUUUCUGGGAGGAAGAGAAGGCUCGUUCUGGCAGGGGAAAGAGCAUCCUCUUUAUAAACCUCUAGUUCACUUGAAAAAGUAAAUAAAUACCUGGGUUGAUGUUUGGCACAGAGUAAGUGCAGAGAGGAGGCAGGGAGGGGAGAGAGGGGGUGUCUCUGGUUUCUAUCUCCCCCAUUCAAGGCUCCGCACUUUGCUUUUAUCAGGCCAAAGUUGGGGCAAAAGAGGUGCAGACUCACAGCUCAGCAGAGGCACAGAGGUGGGCCUGCAAAGCAGAUGGCUGCCCAGCCUUCCAAAUCCAGCCACCCAGCCAUCACCCUCAGCCGUGUCUUUGGCCUGGGACAGCAGCAUGGAUGGGGGCCCAAGGAGAGUGAGCAGAAAACAGUGUUCUUAAGAACCAGCCUCCGGGUUGGAGGUCAGAGACUGAAUUUGGCAUUUUUUUAUUCCUUGGGGCUCUGCCCUGGGUGAAGCAGGGCAGGGCAGGAGGAGAAAGAGCUCCAAACCUAUAAGGAGGAUCCACUUGCUUAGAGGCCAUUUUUGAAGUCAGAGCCCUGACUGAGUUUCCAUCCUCCAGGCUGGAGAUAUAUCUGGCAAGGCCCCAGUCUGCAUGCUGUGGUCAAUCAAUGGCUGAAGGGCCUCAUUCCCCCAAGACAGGGACAUUUCAGAAGCUCCUUUUCCAAAGGUCCCCAGAGUUACAAGAGGAAUCUUCUGUUAUGUUCUAUCCUAGAUAUGGGGGGAGGCUGGCCUAGAGGGAAAUUUGAGGGAUACUGGUGUCUCUCUGCACCCCUGGGAAGAAGAGGGCUCUGCUUUUCUGCCCUGCAGCUUCUUUCCUCCCAGCCUCUACUCCUCACAAGAACACAGAGUUUGGUCUUAUUAAACCCCUCUGACACAUGAGAGAGCCGUAGCACAGAGCAGGGGAGGGGUCGCUAGCUUUGAGGUUAACGCCGCAUCGCGCCUGUGCAAGGUGCAGGCCAGAAUCGCUCCCCUGGCCUCCCCACUCCAACAACAAAACCCAGGAAACAGGUUGAUAAGCUCCCUGGCAGUCUCUAAGUCAUUUUAAAGUUAUUUGUGCUGCUUUUUUUUGCAGCUUUUGUCUUCCACAAAUGCACUCGGCCGGGCAGGCGGCCCUGGAGGGCAUCAAAGGCCCCGCUGGCCGCAGACACAAGAGUACAGCGGUGCCAAGGCAUCUCCCCUGCCAGCUACCCACCACCCGCCAUGCAGCCUGGGAGAGUCACAAAGAGGAGGUGCCCGGUCUUACAACCGUUCCAGUGACCAUCACCACCGAGUCACAACGUGCCCCAGCAAGUAGCAGGCACACCUCCACGACGGGCUAACGACAGGACGGCUUUCCUCCUCCCUGGACAUCUGUGAACUAGGAUGUUCUGUUCUUCCCCCUUAGAGAGGAGACUAAGGCACGAGGCAGGUGAGUCCCACGGCUGGGGAUGGCAGAGAGAGGCACUCAACGCAGGUCCGGAGCCAAGGCCUGUGGUCCGCUCCCCGCCCCCGUCCUGCCUUUCCUUAGAGAGCUCGGAACCCGGCCAGGCUGCUCCUGUUCCUCUGUGGGGCCCAGGGGGCCCGGGAUGGGGUUGAGAGUCUCACUACGGAGGAGGCCUGGGAACUGGACCCAGAGCCCAUCCGGCCGCCCCGGAUGAAGGCGCGAACAUCCGGGCAUUUCCUGUUCCCGAGCAUGGGGGCCUGGGCCCGGCCAGCUCCAGGGAGCCAGCUAGGCGGGAAGGGGCUGCCAGGGCCCUGGCACCAGCCCCGGGCCGUGUGCACUCGGCCAGCUCCGUUGGCUGCCCAUCAAGGCUUCAAAGGGGUGGGUGAAGCAAGCCGGGGGGCCGGGCUGGCCGGGUCUGCCUGAAACCGAGACGGGAGAACAAAAGGAGGCCGUUGUGGGCUGGUUGGGCGGGAGCCCUGGCGGGAAGGAGGGCGGGAACCGGGAGGCCCCAAGGUGCGGGCGGCCCGGGCGGUAGGCAGGAUCCAGUCAUGGCUUCUGCACACAGGAAUCCGGGCCCAGGAAAGGCACCUUGGCAGGUGGCGGCAGCCAGCUUCAAGGCUACAUGCUGCAUCUGUCAGGGAUCUGUAGGACUUGGGGGCUGUGCCUUGCAGAGAAUUCAUCUGUCUGUCCCCUAGGCCAAUGUGCCCACCCAGCCACCAGGAGCCAGACACUUGUGUCGCUGAACGCCAGCCAUGAGCCAGAACAACAGGAGCCCUGCUUUGGCUGGUUUGUGCAGGUACAAUCCCAGGGUCUCUCCAAGAUGAGAGGGCAGAAGUCACAGAAGUCUGGGACCUGACAUACACCUGGACGCCCCUCUUGACUCCAUCACCAGCUGUGAUCUUGGACAAGUGACUGACCCCCAAGCCUUAGUACCGGGCACACAAUAAGUGCUCAAUAAACGUCCCAGGCUGGGAGUACAUCAGCACAUUGGAAGGUGGGAGUAAGCCCUCAAUGCAGGACUCCUCUCCCCAACAAAACGCUCUUCUAACUGCAUUUUGCCAGCUCCCAGGAAACCACCACCAUGGGGGCCUAGACAGCCUGGCACAUUCUAAGAACCCAGUCAUGGGAAGCUGCAGUCCUUGUUGCAGGAGAAUACAAUGGGGGGUGGGGGGUUGCAGUCACUACAGAGACAACAGGCAGCUUGUCCUCGGGCACACAGGCCAAGCAGGAACCUCUGACUCACAGUCCCAGUGUUUAGCCGGUUCCAAAGAUACAGCCACAUCUGGCCCCCACCUCUGAGGUCCUGAUGUUCUUCCUGGAGCUGAUGAUCAAGCAUAAAUGGAACUGGGGGUACCACACACAUCAGCGUGUGGUUAAGGGUCCCAACAGGUGACCUUCAGGAGAGCAUGAGGGAUCAGAGGAAGCAUAGAUAGAGAGACCAGGAGGAGGCAGGAGGGGAAAGGAGCUCAGAGCACACACAGGCCCAGGAGGCAGAAGGGUCUCAGAUUCCAUCCCAAGCUCUGCCAUCCCUUCCAUGGGAUGUGGGCAGUCCCAUCCCCCCUUCCCCCAGAGUGUCUUCUUGAUUGGUAAGUGAAGGGCCUGGAGCAGGGGACCUACAAGGUCCUUCCACAUCACAGAUUCAUGAGGCUGGACCAGAGGGCGGCAGGGAUGCUAUAAAGAGGAGGCUGGUGCCAGAGCUUUUCCUGCGGAAGGACCAGCAGAGCAUCUGCAGCUCUGGGUGCAGACCCAGCCCCGGCAGGAGGUACACCAGUGUUCUCACCCCACUGGCCGGCCCUGGCACAUCAGUCUCAGCAGACAGGCAUGUGGCACGUGGAGAGGAAGGGGCAGGCACUGGAGGCUGAGACCUGCCCGAUUUCUGCCCCCAUGUCCACAGUAAUCGGCACUUGGGGAAAGACAUAUCACCUCUGGGGGCCCUGGCUUCUCGGGGGUAACAUGAGGGUAAAUAGCUGCCUCCAGAGACUAUAUGGGACAACACAAAUUGUUGUUGAGUCGCUCAGUUGUAUCUGACUCUUGCAACCCUGUGGACCAUAACCAAACAGGCUUCUCGGUCUAUGGGAUUUUCCUGGCAAGAAUACUGGAGGGGGUUGCCAUUUCCUCCUCCAGGGGAUCUUCCCGACCCAGGGAUUGAACCUGCAUCUCUGUGUCUCCGGCAUUGCAGGCAGAUUGUUUACUGCUGAGCCACUGGGGAAACCCUGACACCACAUGUGGUAGAGCCUAAACAAAAAGCAACUCAGGGAAACGUUCAUUCCUUUUCUCUCUACUUGACUUUACUGGGGUGCAAUGCCCCUGGAUAGAAAACCCAUGUCUUCCUUAAUGUCUCCUAAUGCUAAACAGUGAAUUAGAAGGCUGCUUUUUUAGGGCAAGACCUGGCUCCCAGUUUCUGCUGCGGUGUUGUUUUGUCUACCUGUAAGGCACUGCGUAAGUUACCUAAGCUCUUUUGGCCUCAGGUACCUCACCUGUAAAAUGGGGCUAUUAACAAUCCUUCAUUCACAGGGUGUAGAAGAUUCAUGGCGAGGUCAAGUAUGAGAAAGUACUUAUCAAGGCAGAAGCCCUCUUGUCAGAAGAAGUGGCCUCGGAACCAACCUCACUCGUGGUUCUAGAAGGAAGGAAGUCAUACUGAGACUCUGGAUGAACUGAAAUCGCUCCUGAUGUCUAAUCCAAGGCCGGCAGUGUGUCAGAGCAGGUUCUUGCCAGAACUGCAGCAAACACUCGCUGACGUGGCACAAAACAGGCUGGGAAUGGCACGAAGUGGGCCACUUGGAGGGGCCUGGAGUGCUGCCCUGCCAGAGGGGGACCUCUCUUCCUCUGGGACUGAACGGGCCUAAUGCCGAGCUCUCGGGCACCCUGCCAGUGCUCCUUCUGUGCACGCUACCCAGGUCUCCUGCCAUCUCCCCAGGGUGACGUUAGGUGAUGGUCAGAUUAUCACCUGCUUGUCAGGUAGUUGAGAGAGGGAGGUACAGAGAGGGCUAGAGACAGCUCUUCAGAGAAGGUGCCAGCCCCAGCAGCUGGCCCCCGGGGCCCGGAACGCCCAGGGCCCAACGGCAAGCAUCCUGCUUCCUCUCCCGACCCGCUGAGCAAACACACAAGGAUGGCAGGUGCCCGGGGCAGCUGGCCAAGCAGGGCCUAUGCCCGCUGUUCCCUCCGCCUCCCGCCCAGCCAGCGCCAGCCUGAGCCAAGGCCCGUGACCUCCCUGGCGCCUGCCCCGCUCUCACUCUCCGAGCUGGCAGGCAGGAGGAUGCGCGAGCCAAUGCCUAGAUGGGGGGCUCCUCGGGGCAGCCCCUAGGUGGGGUGGAAACAGCACACAAACAGCGUUCUAUACUGUUCUAUGUGCUAUGCUUGGGUGCUCAGUUGUGUGCAACUCUUGGUGACCCCACAGACUGUAGCCCACUAGGCUCCUCUGUCCAUGGGAUUCUCCAGGCAGGAAUACUGGAGUGGGUUGCCAUGCCCUCCUCCAGGGGAUCUUUCCAACCCAGGGAUCAAACCCUGCACUACAGGAGGAUCCUUUACCAUAUGAGGCACCAGGGAAGCCCAUACUGUUCUAUACUAUGCAUUUAAAGGUGCUGAUGUGAAGCGCAGAAAAAUGACAAUGCCUUCAUGGGAAACUUACCAAGGCACUUCCAUGAUACCUGCUGACCAAUGAGAUCUCAACCCUGAGGGCCCUAGAAGGGGUGUCAGGUAACCUGAUCAGAAUGUAGCACCUUGGGCAAGCCACGCCCCUUCUCCAGGUGAGGUUUCCUGUUCCAAGUGAUGAAGGGACUGGCCUGGAUGACAGCUAAGGUCCCUGCAGAGUGCGAUGGCAUUUAAAAGAGGCUGUCGUGAAGUCAGGCAGCCCUUGUUCAAUCGCUCAAUGUGUCCGACUCUGCAGACCCCAUGGACUGUAGCACGCCAGGCUUGCCUGUCCUUCACUAUCUCCCUGGACUUUGGUAAAAGCUCACUCUGCCACCUUCUUAGCUGUGUGCCCCUGGUCAUUCAUUUGAUGUCUCUGAGUUUCUUCAUCUUAAAAUAGGAAAGGCAAUUCCUCCCUGCAGAGUCUUGUGAAAAAUCAAACCAGAAUGGUUAAAAAGGGCCUGCUGGGAAGCAAGUGCCCAAAAUAUGGGGACAGCCACUUCUCUAACUCAUCCAUGGUAGGUUCUUAAACUAAUAUCUGUGUCAAAUCAUGUUCCCCCUGAGGAAUAAAACAGGAAUUCCCCGGGGUCUGGGGCCCAAAGAACCCAGCAGAUCAGCUGAGGCUUACCCUUUAGCUUUUGCAAACUAAGACCAUGGCUACCCUAUUUCCCAACACACACACACACACACACACACACACACACACACACACUCCCUCUUUCUCUCUCCCCUUACUCUAUGCAUAUCCACUAAUGGCACCUCUGCUCCUAUAGGAAACCAAGUGAAUAGGGAAAUGGCAGUGAUCCCAGUCUAUUAGAGAUGCUCUGUGUAGAGGGAACAGCAAGUGCUUGUCAUGUUCACAGAGAGGAUACCUGAUUUAUCCUCAUCAGAUCAGUCAAUCAGUCAAUCAUACAUCAGAUGUAUCAGUUAAUGCAUAUGGUACUGGACAACCCCUGCCCUUACAGAAUUCAGCUCAUCUAACAGUCAUUAAAGACUUCCCAUUCUAUCUAUCACCGAAGAUUACCACAUAGCAAUACAGCCUCAGUGGCAUAAGCACUAAGUGUCCAUGCUCCUGGGUGGUCAGGGCAGCAGCUCUGACGAUCUUGGCUGGGCUCAUUCAGGGGGUUGGGAGCUGACUGGUUGUCAGCUGGUCUAGGCUGGUCUUAAUUAGGAUGAUGAAAGCACCUUGGUUACGUUCUAUAUGUGUCUCUCAUCCUUCUCCUGGAACCAGAAGGCCAGUCUGGAAAUGUCCUUCCCGUGGUGAUGACAGAGUCCAGUAGCACAAAUGGAAACGCUUUUCAAAGCUCUCCUUGCAGUGUACCUGUUAACACUUCACUGGACAAAACCAGUCACAUGAUGGAGUCCAGCAUCAGAAAUACAGGGAACGGGUUAUGAGUUGGACCACUCAUGAAGUCAGUUCACCGCACUGCUUAUUAGAGAGAGAAGGCAGGGUGCAUAUAGUUAAAUAAAGCUACUAAGCUAAGGGGGAGUCCCUGGUGGCUCAGUGGUAAAGAAUCCACCUACCAAUGUAGGAGACAUGGGUUCCAUCCCUGAGUCGAGAAGAUAUCCUGGAGGAGAAAAUAGCAACCCACUCCAGUAUUCUUGCCUGGAGGAUCCCAUGGACAGAGGAGCCUGGCAGGCUAUAGUCCAUAGGGUUGCGAAAAGAGUCAGACAUGACGUAGCAAGUAAACAACAGCUGAGCUAAGCAAUCCGGUCAGGAUUGGGACCCAGUGCUAAGUCCUACGCCACUGCCACUAGAGCACAGGCAAAGAGGAGAGGUAGUGACAGCUGGGAGAGCUGCCCAAGAAGGGACCUGCAGGCUGAGAACACACACAGGUUCUGGUCACUGAAUGUUCUCCUUCCCCCAAUACCUGAUGAGCGCAAAUAGCUGUGAGUCAAACAGUUGGAAUCAACCAGCAGCCCUACUUGAGCACGUGGGUAAGAAGGAAGCAGUUCCAGAGAAAGGAAUGCAGUCUUCCCUGCAUUUCCAAGCUCCAUAAAUCCAGGCUCAAGGGCAAGCAAAGGCUCCAUGUUCCUUGAUCCACCUCCUCCCAUCUCCACCCCACCACGCCCUGGUUUUACUGGAGAUGAGAAGUGGGGCAGCGAACCCCACUUUGCAAGGGGUCUGUGGCUCUCCUGCCUCUGCUGGGUUGAGACUAGAAAGAAAAGGGCAGAUGGGGAUCCCAGCUGAUGCCCAGCACCUGAUCCGGUGGUGCUGGGUUGGGGCCCAGGAGAUAGCAUUUUCCAUCAACUCCAGCACAGGGAUUCUUCAGCUCACAUUUUGACCCCCUUCUCCCCAAGACGGGCGAAGAAAUGCAGCUGUCCAAUCACUCCACAUCUCACUGAGAUGUUAUGUGCUCCAAGCCCUAAAGCAUUCACAUUCUAGUGGGAAACAGACAUAAAUAAACCCAUGUGCAAGUGUGUACGCAAACACACACCCUCCCAGGUGUACAAAGAAAGAGGGAAAGCUGUGAUGACGGUGCUCGCAAGCACACACAUUUCAUACGGCAGGUGGCAUUUUAAACCUGGGCUCACAUUAUCACAUCUAAGCCUCGCGGUAACUGUGAGGUGGGGCUAUUUUUAGCGCCAUUUUUCAGGUGAGAAAAAUAAAGACACAGAGAAGUUCAAGCGUCCAAAGGGCCCGAGCUGGUAAACGUGGAGUCAGCAGGGCCAGCCCAGGUCUGACCCCAGGGCUGCAGAGGCGGGGAAGCAUUAACUCUGCCUGGUGGUGCUGCCUGCCACCAGAAACUCCAGCCUGUCCUUCAACGCCAUUAAACACAGGAGAAUAAAGUUCUUGAACUUGGCGUGUAGCCCCAGCGCCUUAGAGCAAAACUGCGGUCAUGAACUACCUUCUGUAAUACUUUUUCAGUGGGAAACGGCUUCAUCACAUUAUGUGUCAUGUUCUGCCCACCUCCUCGCACCAGCUUCCUCCACCCUUUCUGGGAAGUCAUCAUCCAAAGAGGGGGUGCCAUGAGGAAGGUGAUUACACCUGGGCCCGCUGUGUGUGCACCCAGGCGAGGAACACAGCUUUAUCAAUAGACGUGCUGGGACCAAAAUCUCCCCUCUGGCAAACACGGAACUGAAGGCGCCUCAGAGAGGCCUCAGAGAGCCAGGCCAAGGCCUAGCCCCGUAUUUGAACUUUAGUCUCAUCUGCUCUAGAUCCAGAGCUCUCGGCUGUUCUAAAAUGUGAUUCACGUGCUCGUGUCGAGGGGCUGGGAGAUUUGAUGAAAACAUCCAGACAUACGCUGAAAAGUGUGAUGACCAUGGUUUCCUGGAGGGAGAGAAACUUCCUGCGUGGUUAUUAAAAGCAAUGAAGAGGGAGGGGCAGGACUGGGAAUAGGAAGUCUUCAGCUUCUCAGCAGAGCGGGCAUUCUGGAGCCAAGAAGAUGCUGUGCUCUGGAGGGCACAUUCCAAGACAGGGUCGGGCUGCCUGUAGCCGUCGAUGCGUAGGGCCCCGUGGAGUUCCCCGGGGCCAGGCGCUGGCUAAAGCUCCAGGAGCGGACGCGGCUUCUGAGGACGGGGACGGGCUUCAAGCCAGCCGCUGGCAGGACGGGCUCUUUGGCGGGCUUCCCUAGGAUGGAAUAGGGAAAGAUAUUUCGCCUCCUUACUUCAUGUUUCCUCAGCUUGGGAAAAAAGGGAAGAAAGAAAAAAAAUAUGGACCUCCCUAUCCCAACAGAGGAUAAGAAAGAACUCACAAAUGGAAAAUCCACAGACCAGAAAUGAAAUUCUAAAGAGAACAUCGUUUCCCAUUCAGGCUGGUGCGGAUACUUGUCGUGGGCGCUACUAUGGUCGGCCUGGUGUGGGAACAGUAGUGUUUAAAGCGGGGUGGAGCGGGGCCGGGUCAGGGGUCGUCCCUGUGGAAGAAGAGAUUCCAGCCUGGGGGCAAGGAGUCCUGGGGCAUAAGUCCUUGGUACCCAGUGGGGUUCAGUGGGAUUGCGACCUUGGACUUGAGCAUUUCACGUGGGACACAUCUGUGAAGUGGGAAUCAUUUUGCUGCUUGCACCAGCCUCACAUCCCUGUGAAGGGCUAAAAAUAGCAACAACCAGCCAACUACAGGAGCAAUGUUAAUGAUGUUCACCCAAGGGACACAGAAUCAUUUCUCCCUCUGAGUGUGUGUGUUAGUUGCUCAGUCGUGUCCGACUCUUUGCGACCCCCUGGACUGUAGCCCACGAGGCUCCUCUGUCCAUGGAAUUCUCCAGGCAAGAAUACUGGAAUGGCCACCCCUUUCUGAUGAGUGCGACAAAAUGGUGGCUGUAAAGGGAGGUACACAGCAGGAUGCGGCUGCAAAGUUCUCAAGACAAACUACCUAGGCGGGAAAUUGUGCUCUACUGCUGUGUGACCUCGGGCAGGUCACUCAAUCUCUCUGUGCCCUAGUUUCGUCAUCCAUAAAAUGGAGAUACUAAUAGUCCAACCUCAGUGCACUGUGUAAAGAUUUAAUGACCUGAGGAUUAAUGAUGAUCGAUACGUGGUCAAUAUGUGUCAGUGAUUAUUAUAAAAUUGAUGACAGUCAUACAUAGUAAAAUAUUACUCAUCAAUGUUCAGGUCAUCUUUGAACUCAGUAGCAGCUGCUCCUACAAGCAGAGUAGUUGUUGCCAGGAGGGGGAGAUACAAAUACUUCAUGUUUCAAGAUCUUAGAGGCAUCCAUUUUAAGAUGAUACAAAAGGAAUCCAUGGAAUACUCAUUUAAGGGGUAUUUUAAUGAGCAACUGCAGACCUGACAGGAGAGACAGACCCUCAGGGUUCUGUUGCUUUCCUCUGUCAUUCUGGAACCCCAUUGACCAGGUAGUAAGCAAGGGUGGCGGGUGUCAUUAUGUCUCCAGCAGUGCAGGAGGUGCUGGGGGAGGACAGGGGAGAAAGGUCCUUCGAAAGCACGUACCAUCCAAGGGGGAGAUGCACCUGGUGCCUCAUGCAUCUCAGUGGGGGUUCCUCAAGGGGAGCAAGGCUGAGACGGCACGGGAGCAGGGCCCAGAGGGCUGGUGGAUCCAUGGGACGUGGGGCUGGGAAUGCUUGGGCUUGCUAGGGGAUAAGAGCAGGCUGCAAAUGCACAGAGCAGGACCUGGGAGGCCAGGCUGCAGAGGCACGCUUCUGUCCUAAGGACUUGAAUUGUAGACCUCAGGGUCAGCGAGAACAGGAAAACCACACAUGCCUUCACUGGGAAGGGACAGAUGCAAGCCAAGCUGGGCUUCUGGGAGAUGCCAUGGGCAGUGCGGAGGGUGGGUGGGAAGACAGCGGCUGGGAGGAGGCAAGGCCUGGAGUUGGGGGCUACUGCAGCCUCUCAGUGACAUCAGGACCUGACCCCCAUGUUGUGAUGAUAAAAUCCACUGAGGGGUGACAAGUGGACGGUAGCGGAGACAAACUGCACAUCACUUGAUUCAGGAGAGCUGGAAGCUGGGCUGGGACUGGGCGCAAGGGGCACACUAGGACCUGAGGGUCUGCUGACGAGGAGCAAACAUUCUGGAAGCCAGAAAAGAGCCUAAAACGUGUGUUCCCAACACUGUGACUCUGUAUUAGUUUUCUACAGCUGCCUGUGUGAAUCAGAACAAAUCUAGCAGUUUAAAAUAAGAUUUGGGAGCAACCUAAGUGUCCAUCAACAGAUGAAUGGAUAAAGAUGUGAUACACACACACACACACACAGGAAUAUUACUCAGCCGUGAAAAAGAAUGAAAUUUAGCCAUGUGCAACAUGAACCCAGAAGGCAUUAUGCUUAGUGAAAGAGAUCAGAAAAGAGAAAUACAAAUACUGUAUGUUUUCACUUACGUGUGGAACCCGAAAAAAUAAUAUAACAAAACAGAAACAGACUCACAGAAACAGAGAACAAACUACUGUUUAUCAAUGGGGAAACAACUGGGGGAGGAGCAAGACAGGGGAAGAAGUUUAAGAGGCACAAACUACUAGGAAUAAAAAACUAAGAUAGAGGAUCUGAUGUACAGCACAGGGAAUGUAGUUUUUAUUUCACAACAACUUUAUAUGGUGUAUGAUCUAUAAAAUACUGAAUCACCAUAUCAUGCGCCUGACACUAAUAUUGUACUGUAAGUCCACUAUACUUCCCCAAAAUAAAGUUUUUGGUCAAAUUCAGUUUGUAGGGCUAAGGCCCCAUUACUUUGCUGGAAGUUGACUGGAGGCCACUCCUAGCAACUAGAGGCCACCACUCUCUUUGCAGGCGGGUCCCUACUUCCAGUGCUUUCCAGGUGCCGCUAGUGGUAAAGAACACGCCUGCCAGUGCAGGACACGUAAAAGAUGCAGGUUCCAUCAGUGGGUUGGAUAGAUUCCCUGGAGCAGGAAAUGGCAACCCACUCCAGUACUCUUGCCUGGAGAAUCCCACUGACAGAGGAACCUGGGAGGCUACAGUCCAUGGGGGUCACAAAGAGUCAGACACAACUGAAGUGACUUGGCAUACAUGUACCCCACUUGUAAGUCAGCAGCAGUACAGCAAAGCCUUCUCACACUUGGAGUCUCUCUGACUCUUCUUUGGACGUAUCUCUGUGAUUCCAUUCAGAGAUAGUUCUCUGCACAAUACAGGAUAGCCCCGCUGUACUGGCCCAUUGAUUACUAACAUUAAUUACAUGUGCAAAGUCACUUGUGCCAUGUGAAGUACCACACUCACAGGCAUAACACCCAGGGUUAGAAUAGGGAGCUCUUCUGCCUACCAGGCUUCUUUGCUUCUCAAUAGGAAACUGGUAAGCAUCAUACAAUAAACUAUAAGGUAUGGUAAGCAUGAUCACAGAUGAUAGUCCUCGGUUCUGAGGAAUCCUGGAGAGGAGGCACUUUGCCACCUUGAUGAUCAGGAAGUAGGGGAAUAUCAGGGCAUGCUGGGCUUCUCCAGUGGCUCAGUGGUAAAGAAUCUACCUGCCAAUGCAGGAGACUCGAGCUCGAUCUCUGGUUCAGGAAGAGUUCCUGGAGAAGAAAAUGGCAACCCACUCCAGUAUUCCUGCCUGGGAAAUCCCAUGGACAGAGCAGCCUGGUGGGCUACAGUCCAUGGGGUCACAAAAGAGUCAGGUGUGACUGAGCAACUAAACAACAGGAAAGGAUUCCCGGAAGAAAAAUGAGAUUACCUAAUGGAAUCUAUGGAUGAACAGGAGCAAAGGGAAGUGUCACCCCCAGACUUAAUUAGCCUGUGGAUUAUUAGAAUACCAUAUUUACAAGAGGCCAGAAGCUAAACUGCAAGGAAACACCCUGGGUCGGAGAUGUGGACAGUGUCGCAGGAGCCAGCCCCUCUGCAGGUUAAGAGAUGCUGUCCCUCUCCCCACUCCUGGUCAGGAGACUCUGCCUUUCUAAGAACCAUCCAGAAGUAACACAGUUACCUUCAUGGAAACUCCACUCCAUGAAGGAAAGGAUUUAAGUAAGUCUGCACUGCAGGUGCUGCUCUGGACAGAGGUCUGUGAUACUGGAAAUACAAAUGAUAUGCAGAUCAGUGUGCAGGACAAAUUUCCAAUUUCCCAAAGGAAAGAAGAAAGUGAUCACUUGUGAGAAUGCAGGGCCUUGGGGAAGUCAAUCGUCAACUAUUCAAAAUUUUUGCAAAAUGGUUUUUAAACCUUUGGUAGCCUGAAAAUGGCCAUGGCAGGAUUUCCCCACAGAAAUCAACAAACCUACAAUUCACGGCUUUUAUUCCUUUCUGAGCGGUCAAACGGUGCACCACUGGGUUUGAAUAAAUCCCCAAACUGAUAACAGGGAUUAUCUCAGGAAGAGGUGGGAUAGGUUUCAUGGUGGUGUUGGUUACUUUCCCUUCCUUAUAUUAUUACUUUUAAAAAGUAGUGCAAUUAAAGCGAUUAUUAAUUUUUUAAAUUACUUUCCCAGAUAUUAAAAAUAAUGAAUGCAAAACAAACUGCAGUGUGCUAGAACCCCCUUUUCAAGGCUCUCUGCCUGGGAUGCGGCUUCAGCAUCCUGAACACCAUAUCUGCUUCCAGCUGGUCCAAGCAGAUGGGAAGUACCACCCAUCAAUAAUGGGGUGCUCCUCGCCACCAACCACACUGCUGGGAGUUGGGCAGCCCAGAAGGCUGGGGUCCUCCCCAGGUCCUCUGGGGAGGCUGGGCAUGCGUCCCUGGAAAAAGUCUUCACCAACUGCAAUCUCAGCCCCAGGCCUCAUGCCUCAUCUGCUACAAUCAUCGUGAAUCAGACUCGGAUAAUCAAUGAACAAGAAAGCUUCUACAGGGCCCUCCAGCUCUGCUCCCAGAUCGGCCCCUCCCCUGUGCUGCCAGAUCCAGAGAAUUUGAAGGCGGUGGUGAGGUCCCUGAGCCACAGAGAGCAGACCCCUCAACCCCUACGACCAGCCCAGUGGAUGUGAAGCUUUCUCAUUUAUCACUGUCUCUCUCAGCAACACACUCACCGGAACCCCCGGAUCUUGGAUAGGAGAAGGCGGGCUCCUGCCUGGGGAGCUGAAUGGAGACCCAGCUGAAGACUAACAGGCUCCUCCAGGCAGACACUCCCUGGUUUACCCCGAUUUCAUGGCUGUUGCCACCUGGACCAGAGACUUUUCCCCCAGGAACAUUUCAGAGGAAUCUUCCCCCUGGCAUCUCUCUGAUGACUUAUUUCCUCUGUGACUUCUCAGUGCAGUGAGCACACAGAGUGCCAUCACAUGCAGUGGUGAACACACCAUGACACGCAGCCACGAUGGCAGCUCAGAGCCACACUGCCAGGGCCAGCCGAGUGGGGGAAACCAAGGCACAGGCAAAUGGCUGCCCAUUUCCUGGAGAACUUCCGCAGACCCCCCAGCCCGGAUGCUUGGCACACUGCACUUGAUUAUGACAUGACUGCUGAGCAGAGGGUGAUCUUCUCUGACCUCUCACAGCAUCUUUGUCUUCCCUUAUCAUAUCACCGUGCAUGGGAGCAACUUACAGCCUGUCUUUCUUCUCCAUCACGGAGCCAUUAUUAACCAUCAUCAUCGUGUCUAAGUGGGCCAAUAAUGAAAUCUCUGCACAUGCCACAGUUCCCUCAACCACUCCCAUAUUCCAUGACACUGAGCGCUUAUUCUCAUUUUUCACAGUUACAAAUACGGCUACAGCCAACAUCUUUGUGCACAAGCACAACCGAAUGCUGAAAAGUUACUCUGAAACAAAACUACCAAUUUUUGAUUGCUGCCAACUCCCAGAAUACCGGCAACUCAGUGCAUGUCAUGUCGAAGUUGACCCUGGGAAAUGAGGGCACCAGAGACCAAGCUCCUAUCUACAGGUGACAGGCGACUGGCUGAGGAUGGCCGCCAAUGUAAAUAGGGUGUGGGUGCCCGGGAGGAGGCAGCUGACACACUUCGUACUGAUCAUGAACGGGACAGCAGGAGUUUUGGGGUGUCAUGCACCUACCCGUUGUCAGCUAUCCUAUCACUGCUCUGGAACACCCUGCAGGGUCCCUUGGACAUGGUCCAGGAGAGGUCCAUACGCAGCGUUCAGAAGAACAGCACUCAGGGAGCAUGAUACAAGGUCAGGAAGCCCAACUCACCUGGACACCUGGAUUUGAGGCCAGCUGGGUUUGCACUCACCUUUCUUAAGUCCUUCAACCUCUCUGAAUCUCUGUCUUUCCAUCUCUAGGUGGACGGUUCUGAGAUGACAUCUGAGAUCCUUUAUCUGAUGCUCUAUGAGCCUCUGCAACCCAAGAAAAGGCAGCUGCUGGCCCCAGAAAGGCAGGAGCCAGUGUCCUCACUUAGACCAGGAUCGUGUGCACUCGCAACCUCCACAGUGCUGGAGCUCUGAUUUGGAGAACCACCACUGUCUGUGCAGGGUAACUACCCCGUGUCACCUGAGUGGCUUGUGGAAUUUUAAGUGUCCUGAGGGCCGAAUAUGUGUGUGACUCACCUCUGCCUCCCUUAUGAUCCUAGCUGAGUGGUCAGUGUGUAUGAGAAUUCAUGCUGUGUAUCCUUUGUAAUAGCAAAUUUAAAAAAUAAUCUAAAAGACACCAGCGAAGAACGAGUUAACAUAAAUCAUGAUCGAGCUACGGAAGAGGACAGUGAGCUAUCACCCUUAUGAUGGAGAUCUAGCCUUACUAACACAGAAAGAUGCCCACAACAUAUUCUCUGGGCAUAAAUUCAUUACAGGCCCAGAGGAAUGGUCCUGCUCAACAUGGGUGCCAUGUGUGGAAAUCCCUGGGUCUUGGGAUUUUAGGUGAAUUUUUAAACUUUAUCCUUUGUCCUGUUCUGAAUUAUUUCACUUUUUUCAUAGUUAGUAAGUUUCCCUUUCUAGCAGUGUCUAAGGCAGGAGCUGGCAAACUUUGGCCUUCAGGCCAAAUCUGGCUACCACCUGUUUUUUUUUAGCCAAGAGUGGUUUUUACAUUUUUAAGUGACUGGGGUUAAAAAUCAGAAGAAUAGUUUUGUGACAUGAAAAUUAUGUGAAAUUCAUUUCAGUGUGCAAAAAUAAAGGUUUACUUAGCACGUCCAUGCCCAUUUGUUCUAUACUGUCCACAGUUGCUUGUGUUACACCAAUGACACAGAGAUGGUGUGGCCUGCCCAUCCUAAAAUACUUACUCCUUUACCCUCUGCACAGAAACUCUUCCACCCCUGGCUUUCUGGAAAUCUUUCCAGAAAACAAUUCUUGAAACCUACUCCAGAAUUCCGGCUCAUGGGGGUCCUAAGUCUCACAUUUGAUGAUGAUACAUUUAGUCAGUCCUCGCUAUUUGUAGAUUCUGUAUUCGUGAAUUUGUGCUCAGUCACUCAUUUGUGGCCAGUUUUCUGUGACCCUUUGAACUGUAGCCCCCCAGGCUCCUCUGUCCAUGGGAUGAUCCUGGCAAGAAUCCUGGAGUGGGUUGCUGUUCAUCCACUCGCUAAAAUUUAUCUGUAGCCCCAAAGUCUCAGCACUUUUACAGCCAUUCAUCAACAUUCCCGAGAGGCACAGAAAAAAAAAAAAAAACGAAGUCGCCUAUCACCGAGGUCCCAGCUGAGGUCCGCCAAGGAGACGGCUUCUUGCAAAAAGAGUGGCCAGGUGGCACUUUCAGGACACGGUGUCUAGGCCCCUCCACCUUACCUUUUCGCCUCUGCCAGCCUGGUGGAUAUCAGAGUCCUUGAAGGAUGGCGGCCCAACAACCUGGAAGAGACCUGAAUCUUCUAAUCAGUGUCUGAAGAAACACCACCCACUGAUGAGGAACGUCCUCCUUGGGCUAUGUUUAGAGUGAGAAAUAGGCAUCUUUUGUGCUGAGCUACUAAGAUGUUAAGGCUUAUUUGCUACAGCAUCUAGAGUUACUCAAACGAAACGUUUUCAUCUUUUUUUUUUUCCCUUGGAUGAGGAAACUGAGACUCAAAGCAGUAAAUUAAACUUGACAAGAUUACACAGAUGGAAAAGUGUUGAUUUUCUUGAGUUCCAUGGAAAGCUUAUAAAGAUAACGCUUUUUUAAUUUUUUUUUUCCUUGGCAGUACCUUGCCGCAUGCAGGAUCUUAGUUCCUUGACAGAGCAGGGAUUGAACCUAUGCCCCCAGCGGUGAAAAUGCAGAGUCUUAACCACUGGACCACCAGGGAAACCCCAAUGUUCUUUCUGUAACACCCAGCUACUGACAUGCUAAGAGCUAUUUAAGUGCUCUGAGUGUCUGGAUGAAAAAGAGUUCAGGGGGGAAAAUACUCUAAAAAGUACAAGGCACUCUAGAAAUAACCAAGUCGCAUUUAUCAUCAGCUCUCCUGUCCACCUUCUCUUUUUUUGGUCAAGUUCACCCCAUCCAAAAUUUCAUUUUCAAUGGAAACAGAGAAAGCGAAUGUGGUAGCAGGCAUCACCAGCCAUUCUCAAAGCCUUUUUGUUACUUUGAAAUGGGCUAAAAAAGCCAUAUUCUCCACCUACAGGGGCCCUACCUCCCCAACCCACCCCAGCCUGUCCUCGCGAAGAGUUCACUGUGAGCACCGCCCACAGCCAGGCACGACCAGGCGGCUUCACAGAAGCCAAAGAAGUUAUCAGAAAUGAGGGCUGGAUCUGACAGCGAGGCCAGCUGUGCAGACAGGGGCAUUUCAAGGCCCUCACUUCCCCGCUCAUAAUUAGUCAGCUUCUAGCAAUGACUAGAAUCUGAGAGUGUUUCCUAGUAGUGACCUCCUCGGUCACUCCAGUGAGGAAAGAUCACUUCAGCCUCCACCACAGGACUCUCAAAUGUGAACGCUGAUGGAGAGCUUCACAACAUUAACUGACCUUCAGUUUAGAGAUGAGGACAAACUCCCAGAGAAAAGAUAUUUAGUCUGUCCAGCGACUCUCCGUGCAGUUGAUGUGCACCUGGUAUGUACACGUCAGGCUGCGAGCAAAACCCACGGGAGGCACGAUUCCUCACCUUGAAAACCCAGGGCGCAAGGAGAGACACAGGUCCACAUAUUUUCAAGGACGCACUCCUUUUGGGUCCCCACUCUUCACAGGACCAACAGCAAUCAUAGCAGCCGCGAUGGUCCAAACCUAUGUCCGCUUACACGUCUGUCUUCCCCAGAAGAUUAAGAGGAUUUCUGUGAAGUUCUUUUCAUCUGUGUGACCCCAGCAUUUAACACAGAUCCUCACAGUGUGUGGUGUGGGCUGAACUGAGUCGAAUGAAUGAAUGAGUGAAACACACUGGGAGUACAAAAAUGAACAAAACACAUUUCUGAAGCCCAAGGUAAUGAGAAUAGAUUAAUACUGAGGAUGCAUAGGUAAAUAAUCACAGUAAACCCAAGAACAUAAGACACGUAAAGAAACACGGCAGGAGAAGUUGUUAGUUCUGGACGGAGGAGUCACACCAUGGAGUGUGUGUGCCACGUGCUCAGUCGCAUCCAACUUUUUGCGACCCCAUGGACCGUAGCCCGCCAGGCUUCUCUGUCCAAGGGAUUCUCCAGGCAAGAAUACUGGAGUGGGUCCCCACUUCCUACCCCGUGGGAUCUUCCUGACCCAGGGACUGAACCCAGUCUCCUGUGCCUCUUAUAUUGCAGGUGGAUUUCCUACCUGCUGAGCCUUCAGAGAAACCCCUCCCCAUGGGAACUAGGCACAAGUUAGGACCAUUGGUUAGCAGUUCCAUGGCUUCCUGACCUGCCCCCACAGAGCACCCGCUUUGCUGUUGUUCAGUGGCUAAGUCGUGUCUGACCCUUUGUGACCCCGUGGACUGCGGCACACCAGGCUUCCCUGUCCUGCACUAUUUCCCAGAGUUUGCUCAAAUUCAUGUCCAUUGAGUCGGUGAUGCCAGGCGACCAUCUCAUUCUCUGCCACCCUCUCCUCCUUUGGCCUUCAGUCUUUCCUAGCAUCAGGUCAGUAUUCACUGCAUACUGUUAAAACCUCUUGCUCAUUAUCUGUCCCCUUCAAAGACAAAAUUCCCGUAGGAGCAGAGACAGCUCCUCUCCUGUCCAUUCCCCAGCACUCAGCAGUGCUCAUGAACAUUUUUGGAAUGGAUAUUCCAAGUUAGAGACACAAAGGCACAUUCCAAUUCUAUAAUGGAUAUAAAUAUCUGUCUAUCUACCGACAGUGUUGAUAUGCUUACACACGAGAAGCAGCAGCUGACUCUGCCAUGAAGGAAACAUAAAGGAUAUAUAAACAUACAUAACAUGUGGUUACCGCAGUGAUAACCACAACCCAUCCUUAUGGAGCCCUAGCUGUUCACUGGGCGUGGUCCCCCGAGGUAAAGCUCACAAUAGCCUCAGGAGGAAAUCGGCAGUAUUAUUCUCAUGUUUCAGAGGAGGAGACGGAGGCAGAAGCACAGAGAAGUGAAGCUGGCUUCCCAAGGUCACACAGCUAGCAAGGACAAGAGUUACAGUGUGACUUCAUGGUAUCCUGUGAAAGCAUGACCUCAAGUCAAGAGAACUGGAGAGAAGGAGAAAUGAAAUCACUUGUGCACAGCAAAAAGCAUCCAGCACAGAGCUAGACAGACGCUGGGAACAAAGCAGACUAUGGCCUUCACACCUCAUCACAACAACGUGCAUGCACAGAUCUGCCCACAAAUACCAAUUUGCUGAUUCUCAACCAUCUGAAGAGAUUUUUUUACAAACCCUGAGGCCCAGAUUCCUCCAUAGGCCAAUUAAACCCCAGGUCGUGCAGUGCCAGGGCUUCCCUGGUAGCUCAGUAGGUAAAGAAUCUGCCUGCAGUGCAGGAGACACAGGUUUGAUCCCUGGAUUGGGAAGAUCCCCUGGAGAAGGGAAUGGCAAACCACUCCAGUAUCCUUGCCUGGAAAAUCCCACGGGCAGAGGAGUGCAGUGGUAAAGAAUCCGCCUGCCAAUGCAGAAGAUACAACAGACCCAGGUUUGAUCCCUGGGUCAGGAAGAUCUCUUGUAGCAGGAAAUGGCAACCUGCUCCAUUAUUCUUGUCUGGGAAGUCCCAUGGAGGAGCCCAGCAGGCUACAGUCCCUUGGGGUCGCAAAGAGUCAGACAUGACUAAGCAUGUAACAUGCAUGUGCUAGGAGAGCUGGCGAAAGGAAUCAGGUCCUGAUGUUCUCUGCAAGCUCCCAGGUGACUAUGGCAUGCACCCAGGGCUGAGAAACUCCACUGCCUUCCCAGGAGCACGGAGCAGGGCUCUGGAGGAACUGCAGACAGAUCGCUGAGCAUCAGGCAUGAGUACAACAAGAAAAAAAUGACUUCAGUGCUGGACUACUGUUUCCCUAGACUAGCUACUCAAUUCACCUACAGCUAUAACCUGAAACAGGCCCUGCAUCAUCUCGGCCUGUGGCCAAGAACUCCGUGCAUGCCCACCAGUGCCAAGGUGAUGGGCUCGCAUUUGCUUGGAGACAAUGCCCACAGCCCCCAAACCAAAGGCUCUGCCCCAUAGGAGCUGGAGACCUGGCAAAAGUCCCCUUACUCUGUGAGCAUCAAUUUUCUCAUAUGCAAAGUAAGAAUAAUUAUAUCUGUUUCCAAGGGCUACUAAGAGGGUUGAAGGUGAUGUAGAUGCUGAAGAAUUUACUAAGAUGAAAAACAAAACCAGAAAAGUACCACUCUGAGAGAAGGUGUUAUCAUCGCCAACUUGGAAGAAGUUGAGGAGAGACUGGGGCUCAAGCCAGACUUAGCCUUUACUUUUGAGUCAAAAAAUCACUCUGCCUCUUCUGUCAUCCACAGUAAAGCAGUGGACCCCCUACUCAUCCUCCCACUCAGCAAACUUGGACUGGGCAUCAACCAUCAUGUUGUUCUAUGAAUCAAAUUAGAUAGAACAUAUGAACUGUUUUGAAGUUGCAACCUGUUCUACAAAUCUUGCUUGUAAUGAUUAAUUAUGGGUUCAUGGAACCUUAGGGCCAAUGGGGACCUUACAGAACCAUAUACAGUGUGAUGUUGGAUCCCUCUCAGUCUCAGCUCUUUCCCAUCUUAGUUCUGAGCUUCAGGGCCAUAAAAGACAAGUCUGACCUACUGCCUUUCUCUCAGCCUUUCAUUAUUUGGAGACAACCAUCAUGGAAGUCCACUUCCAUCACUCAACGUCCCUCCAGUCUUGUCUAUGUGAUGCUAAGUCGGCCCUAGACCCUGUAUCUCAGUUGGCUUAGGCUACCAUAAAAAAAUAUCAUAGACUGGGUGGCUUAAGCAGAAAUUCUUUCUCAGAAGUGUGGAACUGCAGUCCAAGGUCAAGGUGUAGGCAGGUCCAGUAUCUUCCAAGGCCUCUCUCUUUGGGAUGCACCAUGGCCACUUUCUCACUGUGUCCACAUAUACUGGGGAAAGAGAGAGAAAUAAAGCUCUCUCCAUUUCUUAUUAUUCAGGGCACUAAAUCCAACACAGGAGCACCACUCUCAUCACCUCACCUAACCCUAAUCAGCCCCAAAGGCCCCAUCUCCAAACUCUAUCCCCUUGUGGGGCAGCACUUCCAUGAAUGAAUUUGGGGGGAACUCAAUUCAGCCCAUAGCACAUCCCCCCAGAAGGUUCUCUUGCUAAGCAAAAGCAAAUCUUACUCAGACACUGACCAGGUAUACCCAACGGCUACCAAGCACUGGUUGUAUAUGCCAAGGAAACAGAUAAGUGUUACCUGCCCUUAAGAUACAAAGAGGUUCACUGUUGACACGUAAGAGGUCUCUGGAUCCUAAGACUGGGCCACAAAUGGGGAGAGGAAGUUCACAAAGAAGUCGAAGAGGUGACAGCAGGAAGGAAGCACAGCCCUGCUCUUUGAUUAGCUUUUAUUAUAGUGGUGAUGACCACUGAGCUGAAAUCAGGAAAUCCUUAUCCAUCCAUUAUGGACAGAGCGCCGUCUGCACCAGACCCCAGGCUCUAAGCUACAGGCAUACCUUUUGGGGGUUAGUUUUGGGUGUUCUUUGGAAGGAAUGAUGCUAAAGCUGAAACUCCAGUACUUUGGCCACCUCAUGCGAAGAGUUGACUCAUUGGAAAAGACUCUGAUGCUGGGAGGGAUUGGGGGCAAGAGGAGAAGGGGACGACAUAGGAUGAGAUGGCUGGAUGGCAUCACUGACUCGAUGGACAUGAGUUUGAGUGAACUCUGGGAGUUGGUGAUGGACAGGGAGGCCUGGCGUGCUGCAAUUCAUGGGGUCGCAAAGAGUG
ensembl:lncRNA